CAACUCCACAUCAUGCUAACAAUCAUAGUUAAGAUAUCAACUUCCCAAGCAUUUGCUAAAUAAAAUCUAGUGUUAAUAUCAGUGUGGGUGCGUGUGUGCAGCAGCAUUUGAAACAUAAAAAGCAAGAGUACAACAGCAAAAGUUAUAACUUACAUUAUUUUGAAUUUUGACCUGAUCGAGGGAAAGGAAAAACUGCUGGUAUGCAUCCUUGUCAGCCAAAAGCUUCCGUAGCUCAUCAACACUAAACACAUUAAAUACCAUUUUCAGACAUAUAUCACAAGCUGCAAGCAAGGAAUAACAACACAAUUUAGCAGGUUUUAUACCACAGGGAAGAGAAAAUUUCCACGCCAACUAACUUUAGUAUUUCAAAAUCACAUAAUUAACCAUUAACACUGGAAGGGUGCAAAAUAUGCUACUACUUUUUAGAAUAUAAGUCUCUCAAUUAUACAGACUAAGCAAUAACAGAGUCACUUACUGAAUAAUAUGUGAUUUAACAAGUAUGCUCUUUCAAAGAUUGAUUAAACCAAUGAUUGUGUGAACAAAUCCUGUCUUGAUAUGUAAAACCUAAGUUCUAAGCUUGCCCGUACACCUAAAAUAAAUCCAGGUUUCUUCUUUCUUGUAUUCAGUCAUCAAGUCAUUUUCAACAUUCUUCAGUCUAUCCAAAAAUUCUGAGCUUUGUUUUAUAACCAGCUCAGACAAAACUUAUAACUAUCCAAAACAAUCAUCAACGAAUGGUAUAUUACAAAAGGACUCUAUAAGGAUAUCCAGAUUUCUAAAGUACAAUCUGAAACAAAAGAAGCAGCAAAUGUAGAUAUAUAACAACCUAUAUAUGGGGCGAUAUAGCUAAGAACAUUGUCAUCAGUAAUAAGUUGAAGAGUUGAUCAGCCCUGAAACAGCAAAACCAUAAUUUCUAAAUAAUGAACAGAUAUUUGUAGCACCAAGAUCCCUACCUUUUGUCCUUCAAAACAGCAAUAACACCGGCAGCUUCGGCGGGCGAAACAUGUGAUGGAGACGGUGCCUUUUCUGUAAGCCUUUGGUAGCUCAAACUGCUAGAAGAAGUGCUGCUUGGAGUUCCAGGGCGAGAAGAGGUUGGAGAGUUAACUACAGAUGGAGGGUACCAUGACUGUGAAGGAGUAACAACCUCCGGCCGCGGCUGAGUUUGUUCCUCCUGAGAUCCCCUGUGAACAUAACCACGGUUAAACCUUCAGCCUCUCCAAAACACAACACCAAUCAAACUACUUGCAUCACAAUUCAUGCAGUUUCCAAUUUAUAAUUGCAGAAACAAAUCAAUUCAAUUGCCAACAAUUUCACAAAUCGAUUCAAUUCAUGAAAUACAUCAAAUUCGCAGAAAAAAAAAAUUGGAAAUUUGUAAACCGACAUAUAUGAUCAGAUAGCAAAAUGAACGAAAACGCCAUAAAAUCAAGCUUCGGCAUCGGAAUUCAACGCUAGGACAAAUAAACCCUAACCAACAUCGAAAAGCAAAAUUACCAGAACUUGAACAUGGACAUGGCUUGAGGAGCUUCUGGACCGUCGGAUCAAUCGAGCUAGGUCAAGGAAUCGAAUCGAAUCGACAGGAAGCUUGAGCUGUACGAAGCAGAGCGAGCAGAGAAACGGAGGAGUUGGAGCACCAAGAGACGACGAGGACUUUCGAAGCUUCGAACUGCCCGGUUAUGUUAGAAAGCACGUAUCGACGGUUACGUCUCCGUCGAGAUUGUGAUACGCGUGGCUUUGGCUGAUUGGUUGAAAACGCGUGAGUAAGACAAGGAUCACAGAAGAUGCAAAGAAACAACUGGGCAGUGUCAUCAACAACUCUGCCCUCAUUGGGCCGUGAUUAUGGGCCUAAAUGGACCCCAAAUUUAUGGUCUAAGUAAAACCCAACAAAUAUACCCAACUGGAGCCCGACAAGCAUCGACCUACGGAUAGUCAACUCUGAUAUUCACACUUACCACUUCUUCUAACAUCGAAAAGAGAAAUACCAUUAUACUGAUAUCUAAUUGGUUUUCAACUGUUUGUUUAAGAUUUGCUUUGUCCAUUUGUGUUUGUUUGGCCAUAGUUAGCUUUAAUUGAAAGGUGGGAUUAAUGAGUGUAGAUUGGAAGAAUUGGACUAUGCUUUUUGGUUGACUAUAAAAAAAAAAAAAAAAAGUACAACUCCAAACAAUACCAUCUCUUUUGAGUCUUUCUAUAUAAUUGUUCUCUCCUUUUAACAAAGUUCUUUUCUUUAACCUCCAAAAAAAAGGAGAAGUUUCCUUGCAGUUUGAUAAUGCAAAAUAAAAUAUAUAGAGGAGAAAAAGGAGAUUCUCAAUUUGGUUGUAAAGAAGCAAUAAUGCAAAAUAUCCCUCAAGCUCAAGGUAUUUAAUGAGAUUUGAAGUACGAUUGGAAGGUAAACAGCAUUAUUAUACCAAAUAUAUGCUUGGCUGGUUAACGACAGUGGAGAGUAGGCUGGCUAAUCGUGUUGGUGGUUAAAAUCUAAAGACAAUGUUUUAAGCUAUAAAAUUAUAUCAUGAAUUUGUGUUAAGGGGGAUUGAGUGGUUGGAUUGAGAGAGAGAAAAAGGACCUAUCGGAUGUGUGAAAAAGACCCAUAUGGUUUCUUAUUAAUUCUCAACUCAGCAUUUAACUUCAAUGUGAAGAACAAUGAUUCCAAUCCAAUGAUGAAAUAUAAGAGACUAGAUUUCCAAAAUAAUACAACGAGCAUUCUCAAAUUAGAAGUGGGAAAUUUCAUUUCAUUCUUACACAUUCAACUCGACAUAGAAAUUUUAACUUUUGCCUUCAAACUUCAAAUCCGAACUUCUUAUCUUCAUUUUGACUCGAAAAUCUUAAGUGCCGACCUUAAACCUCAAAUCUGAAUCUCUGAAUUACGAAUCAAAAAUGGCAUUAUGAUUAUUUGCAUUAAUCAUUUUCUGCGGCUACCAAUAGUAACUAAAAGCCAUUCUGUUUCUCCCGUUUGAUGAUGAAGAAACAUCAUCCCCAUAGUACUAGUAGGACCACAGACGACUCUUUACAUCCACAAAGGGACAUUAUAAUGAAUCCAUCCAAGAACAUUAAAGGCUGGAAAAGUUGGAUCAUCUUACUUUCUAAGGAAAAAUGUUACUAGACAAGGAACAACAAUCCCCACUCUGAAAUGUUACACAUUUCUAUAGGCUGUUGAUGAUCACUAUCUCUUUCAAAUUAAAGGUUGGAGGAAAAAAAGAAGUUCAUAUUCUUAAUUUUCUAAAAAAAACAAAAGGAUAGGUGGUAAAUCAAAAGUUAGGUACAAAUUCAUGAGGUAAAUCAUCAGUUAACCCAAAAAGUUAUUAGCUCAACAAACAACUAAUAGACAUAAAAAGGAAGAAAAGUUUAAAACCUAAGCUCAACCUUAAAAGCCAUUCUUUUUUUUGCCUGUACUAUAUGUCAUUCCAGCAACUGAUAUUCUCUUUCUCAACCCUAACAAAGUACACUAUAGAUCCUGUGAGCAGAAAAGAGACCCUAAUAUUAAUACAUCCUAACAUAUAGAUAGUUUUUUUCUUUUCCUCCAAGGAAAAGAAGAGUACAAUUCCAAAUUAUAGGGAGCCCUGAAUUGGCUAAUAAUUUAUUGAACAUCCUUUUUAUUAGACAAAUCUAAAUCUGUUCGAAACGAAAACAUGUGUUAGAUAACACCAAAUAAUAGUGUUACCGUCACACUGAAAAGUUUCCGUGCCAAAGAUUGGAUAUAUAGCUAGUAUUAUCCACGGUCCAAUUUGAUGCUUACCCAGAAUGACAAUAUGCUACAUCUAAUUAAUAUAAAGAUCUCAUUCAGUGAUCCGAAAUAGUAAUAACAUACAGUAGUACAGUUUGUUAUUCUUAAACCUUGAAACUCUUAUUGUAGUUGGUUUACCUUUCCUCUCUCUGAACCUUUCUUUUUAUGGCAAUAUUUAAAGUCGUAAAACCUAAUUUUAGCUUCUUUAUUUUGUUUUGUUAUGUUAAGGAUUAAAUUAGUUAGGUAACAUGAAGAUUAUGACAUAUAAUUAUUACAGACAAUGUGUGAGAUUAAAGAUUGUUCAUGUUCUCCCUGUUGCCACACACACACAGCCUUGAUUAAUUCCUACACAAAGGUGUUCGGCCCUUCAAUUAGCCUGCAUAUUUUGCGAAAAUCAUUGCACUUCCAUGGCCUUUGCAGCAUUAAGAAAACUACUUAAAUGAACGUUGCGUAUGGUACGCGUACGUAACCCAUGAAAAAAAAAACCCCCCAAGAAAACUGGAAGAAGUGCAAAAUGAAAACCUAGAAUAUUUAAUAGCAUGCUCAAGCUCAAAUUGUGCUACUUUAAUCUACUCAUGCGGCUUACAUUUAUUUGCAGAGUUUUUGAGCAUUUGCAACCAGCCAUAGCCCACAGCUCACAAGUUCACAACCCCUCUAAUAUUGGCCCUGAUCGGCUGAACAUGACUCUGUCAAAAAAACCAUUCCCACUCAACUCGUCAAAACUUGUUUGCCAACAAAUUGACAGGAUGGGAAAGAAAUCUCGUGUUACUCAUACAAUUGGUGCACACGAUUCCAAACGAGUUAUUUGGUGAAAAUUUAGAUUAUGUCAAAGUCACACAGUCCUUUUUUGGUCCCAUCGUAUUAGUAUACUCAAGUUUUACAUGAUUAGGAAAGAAUAUAAUAUACAGAUUUUUCUCCUAUUCACAUUCAAAAGUACCGUGCGGACGCUAUAUAUUUGUUAUUUUCCCUCCUUGCUUUUCUCUCUGUUUACAAUGGCGUUUGCACGGUAAUACCGUUUUGUAUAUAUGAUAUAAUACAUUUUAUGAGCAAAGGAAUCCAUAAAAAGUGACUAAAUAAGAUGCGUUUUGUGUAGUCUUUUGAGCCAAAGUGGUGGUGGUCUAAGCCAUAUAAUAAGCAUCUUACAGAUAAAUGAAUUAAUUAAGGAUGCCAAGCUUUGAGAAUGAGUGGGUGGAGUCUCUUUAGAAGCUUAUUAGGGCUCUUUUUGAAGUCUUUUUGGUUGGGCACAUAGCUUUUGAGUCUCAUCCCCUCGGCAGAAUUUGCAUCGGUUUCACAUCAUUGUCCAUGCCUAGCUACCUGCCUUUAUCAUCGAUCCCCUUUCUCGUCUUUCACGGGGAAAACUGCUUUUCAUGAAGGUGAAAAAAAACCCCAUAAUUUUGGUCUCUUCUUUCUCAUUUUGUCUUCAACCUUACCUUUAAUCUCUUCGAUACAAAAGCUUGUCUCUCUUUAACAGAACUUUCAUACUGUUUGCAUGAAGGAAUUUCUUAGGAGUUAAGAAACCAACAAAGAAGGCAAAAGAGAUUAACGUGACUUUAGUCCACCAGAGACACAAAUAUAAUAUUCAAGUGUUUUUUCAACUUUUUUUUUUUUUUUUUUUGGUUUUGUUUCUCUUUCAAUUCUCUCCGAGGUUAAGAAAGAAAAAAAAAAUUCAAAUGAAAAAGUAUCAUCAUUGAAUAUCACCUUAAGUAUAAAGGGUCUGAAUCAUCAUUAAGGAAAAUCACCUUAACAUGUCCUCAUUUGGAGUAUAUGAUUGAACUCGAUAGGAGCACGGCUCAAAAUUAGAUUGGAUUGAAUUUGAUAUGAGCACUACUCAAUUUUAGGGGUUUUUUUUUUUCUAAUGCUUUCUAUUUAAGCAAAGUUAUGAAGUGGUAGUCAUCAAUUUCUCUUAUCUUAUACAUAAAUUUGAGAUUUUUUUUCCUUUCUAUAUUCAGUUAUUUUCCGGAAUGCUUAGUAGAUUCUAGUUUCUUUUCAAGGGUUUGAUGUUUGUCCUUUCAUUCAUUCAUUUACCCAGUGUUUCUUGAUGCAUCAUAUUUUCUUUAUAUUAAUGUUAUUUUGUGAUUUCUUUAUGCUAAUAUCCCUUGAGAUUUUCUAUUUUUUCACAAAACUCCAUGAAGUUUCAGAAAUUACACAAACCCUCCAUAAGAUUUUAAAUUAUUUUCACAAAACUCCUUUUCAUUGAUUUUUCGUCUAAAGAUUGAUGAUUUCAUACCAAAAAAAAAAUCUCCAAAUGACAAAGUUUGCCUUAGAUAUUAGAUUGCAUAUACAUUCAUUGACGUUAAUUUUGUCAUUUGCAUAAGUAUUUUUUUUCAAUGAAAUCAUCAAUUUUGGACAAACAAUCAACGAAAAUGGGUUUUGUGAAAAUAAUUCGAAACGUCAGGUGUUGUUUGUGUAAGUUUUGAGACCUGAGGGGAUUUUGUGAAAACACCAAAAACCUCAAGAGAUGUUAGUGUAAAUAACUCAUCUCGUAACUGGGAUCCUCUAACUUGGACUCACGCAUCGAACCUAUACCUAUAAACCUAGGUAUCCACAUCGAGUUUUAAUGGGUCUUCCAAUUUAUGUGGAGAUUACCAAAGGAGAAGAAGUUAUAAAUAUUUUAUAUAUAUAUGUAAUAUAUAUGAUUUUUUGGUCCUCUUGAUUAUGUAUUGUGAGUUUGAAUUUAUAUAUAUAUAUAUAUAUUGUGAGAGGCCCCCCAACACAUGAAAUCCUAUUUCCGCCACUGCUUAAACUUGGACAAAAAAGAUUUAAUUCAUCAUUUUGCUAGGGUUCCAUAAUUGGUCAAUUAGGGUUGAAUCGGGUCUCAUCAAGCUAAAACGAGUUAGGGCCGGGUUUGAAACCAUUGGCCCUGACCCUACUAAAAAAACAACUCGAGUAGGGCUUUAGCUAUGGGUCAACCCAGGUUUUGGCCCGUAGUGCCUGCCUGCAGCGACCCACUUUAACUUGUAGUGCAUGCGAAAUUACAAUUCCUGAAAUAUUAUAAUUUUUGCGCUAAGCACAAACUUUAUAUAGCAACAUUUUUUUUUCCACAUUUUAUUAUCUAUCUAUAUAUAUCUACAAAGUAAAAUGCCCUUAUCGUUUCCAUAUUAUGAGAGACUCAAACUAGAUGAUCAGUUUCCAUAUCAUAGAAGUGGUCUUGAUACUUGGAAAUGAAGAAUAAAAUUAAGAUGUUUAUAUAAAUCGAUCAGGACCAAAUGAUGAAACUCAACCCUCUUAAAAUUCGACACUGAUAAUUUUAAUCACAUAUAUUCCCCCCUACACUCUACACUUUUGAAUAAAAGGCUUGAAUCCUACCAUCUAGUAGCUAAACGAUAUGAUAAGAUGAAAUUUAAUAUUUGAUCAAAUUAUUCUUUCUCUGGACUAUUUCUUGAGUAAAAAAUACAUCUUAUAACCUUAGAAGCUAAUGAAGAAUUACUAAUCUUUUUUUUUCUUCUCUCCCAUCAGGAAGCGCCAAAAUCGAUCAAAUUAAUAAUGGAGAAGAAAUACUCGAAUUUAAAACCUUUUUCAAUAUUAAAAAACGAAGCACUAUAGUAGAGAAAGAUCGAAACAAAUAGUUGUAGUAGUUUCAUUAGACAAAAUUAAUUAUAGAUUUCUUGUGUCCUUCCUAACCAAGUUUAGUUGUUUAAAAUUAAAUAAAAUAAACCCAUAAACACCUGGUGAUGCAAUUACAAAUCAAGAUGUUACAUCUGAUCACUUGUUAAUCCGAUACAUUAUUUUGUUUUGUUUUUACUAAUCUAGUUAAUAAUGGUCUCAUCACUACUAGGAUUAUAAAUCCUUCUAAUUACCGACCAUGUACUAGGAUUAUAAAUCCUUCUAAUUACCGACCAUGUCAUUAUCUUUUUCCCCCCACAUUUGAAUGGCUUCUAAUGGAUAUGGUGAGGCCAUUAAUCUGCAGUUAUGUUUAUUAAUUCUUCCCAAUGCUGGAAUCCUAUGCCGGCACAAUUUAUAAUCUCAUUUGUUUUUAUAUAAUUUCAUUUUUAUUUAAAUAAUUUUAAAUAAUAAUAAUAAACAACAUUGAAAUAGCUCAUUCAUUGGUGUAAUCAACGUAAUAUUAAAUCACUUCCGACAUGACAUGCUGCCUAAAAUUAUGCAUAUAAAGAGCCUUCCGUGACCUACCUAAACGUCAGCCAGUGCAAUUGUGUCAAUUAUAUAGUUAAAACAGCAUGGCUACAUUUGUCAAUUUUGCUCAUACGUGUGUUUUUAAAAUGUUGACAUAUUAUGUCGUGAGACAAUUAGUUUUGAAUCAUUGGCGAAAUGUGUUUAUGUUAAAAGAGAGAAAUAUCGAACACAAAUCAUCGAAAGCAAGAAUAAAUGUUCUAAAUCACUUGAACGAAUUGAGUGCACACUGAAAGUUUGUUACAUAUUGAUAAUUUGACAAGAUUGUCUGUUGGAAAAACAUUACUGCAAUGAGUACGACUAUGAAUGUAUUUUUGGAAGAAAGAAAUUUCAAUGGAGCAUUAUGCUGUAGUUUAUUUGAAAACAGUUCAAAAACGUUAAAACCAUCAUUUUCGCUAUUUACCCUCUUAAGCAUCGACAAUUAAUUGUUGAUUCCUUUCAUAAUUGGACCGUCCUUGUUGAGCCACGUGGAAUCUCUGCCACGUGGAGUGAAUACAGGGUCAUAUCAUUCUUGAUGAACGACUAAUUGGCCUAUGCGUAGCCAAGUGGGUGACCUUGAGCCUACGUAGAGACGCAAAGAAGAUCCAAAGUAGCGUAAGCGCCAAACCUACCCAUCCCUGUCCAUUCAUCCAACGGCUGCCAUCUUACUUCAGCCACCACGCCCAAUCGCAGCCGUUCAAGCUCUAAGCGUCGCCACAUUAGUUUAUGAGCCUUGUCCCCUAGUCUAAGCGUUGUUGUGUUGUUGAAGUCUAAGUUGCAGGUCGUUUAGGCUCUCUGCCUCUCUCUCCUCUUUCUCCCCCCUCUUCCUUCCCCAACCCCCCCCCCCCCCCCCCCUCUCUCUCUCUCUCUCUCUCUGUGCAUUUUCAUCUGCAAGUACUCUCAGCCUGUGAAUUUCACCAUUUUGGCCAUUGGGCUCACAGAAAGGCCUAAUCUUUGACAAACCAUCACAUUUUCUCAGAUACCCAUUUGUGCACAUUCAGCUAAUUUGAUAAUGGUAAUGUUGCUUUCUCCGUCUCUCUCUUUCUCUCUCUAGAAAUGUGCACCAUUUGGUCCAUUUUUGAAUCUCUACAUUUCAAUCCUCAUUUUGACUUUUGGGUUUGAAUUUACAGGACACAACAAUGCUGGUACCUCCAUGGCUGGAGCAAUUGCUAAGCACCUCAUUCUUCUCAGUCUGCCGUACUCAUGGAGACGCAGCCAGAAGUGAGUGCAACAUGUUCUGCUUAGAUUGCAGUGGUGAUGCUUUUUGCUUCUAUUGCCGUUCCUCUAGACACAAAGAUCACCAAGUCAUUCAGGUAGGUCCAAAUUUUUCAAAAAAUCUAAUCCCCUUUCUCUAAUUCACCUAAUCCGUUUUAACAUUGUGUUUUCUGCAAUAAAAAAUCCCAAAUUUUGAUGAAGUUUUAUUCUUUUUUCCUUCUUGGAUUUUCUUUUGGCAGAUAAGGAGAUCUUCAUACCAUGAUGUGGUGAGAGUUUCAGAGGUACAGAAGGUAUUGGAUAUAAGUGGAGUUCAAACAUAUGUUAUAAACAGUGCCAGAGUUAUGUUUCUGAAUGAGAGGCCUCAGCCUAAGGCUGGGAACAAAGGGGUUCCUCACAUUUGUGAAAUCUGUGGCAGAAGCCUCUUGGACACAUUUCGUUUCUGCUCACUGGGCUGUAAGGUUAGCAUCCAAUUCUUUCUUCUUUCUUCAAAAUCAAAAGCUCCUUGUUCUUGCUUUGUUGCUUCACAUUGUGCUCAAGCAACCAUUGACAAUGAUCAUUGCUUAUCAGCAACAUUAUGGAAUUGGUUUUUCGAUUGGUUGAAUGAAUGCAAAUUUUGAAGUAUUAAAGUUACCAUUUUUGUUUCCAAAUGAUAAAAGCUUGUAGGGAUAAAGAGAAAUGGGGAUGCAAACUUUACCUUGGAGGCAAAGAAUGAGGAGGGAAAUGGGAGAAGAGAAGGAAGAGGGGCAAUGAGAGAGGAAGAAGAGUUGCGUGAAGGCUCACAACAAGACAUAUACCCGCCCACGCCGCCUCCACCUCCUUCCACAACAAGAAGAAGAAAAGGCAUUCCACAUAGGGCACCCUUUGGGUCCUAAUUUGAAGAAAUGCCCUUCAAAAUUCAGCAAAUUAUAUUCACAACCCAGCAUUUGUUUUCUGCAGAAAAAACCAGUCUCUUUUCUUUGCUGUCUAUGUUCAAGAAAGUGAAAGGGGGUGCAAACUACAAAGCCUUUGGAAUUGGAGGUGGGGGGUCCAAAAAAAAAAUACAAAACAAAUGGGUAUAUUGGUAUUGGGGGUAUAGAAGAAGAAGAAAAGUCUGUUCCUUUUGGGUUUUGGGUCCCCAAAAACAACAAAUUAUCUCAUUGUGAAGAUGCAAUAAUGCGUAAUUGUUAUUGAUAGUUGCAAGGUGUACAUGUCAAUUAAGAAAUUUAAAGCGCGUCUUUGUGGAAUCCGAUUUUUAGUUUUUCAUGGGCCCACCCACCACAUGGGCCGUUUACAUAAAGAAACAAAAGCUUUUUAUUGUUUAUAUAUCUAUAUAUAUAAAGCAAAAGGCAGAGAAUGGUGAAACAUUCAAAAUAUCAGAAAAUGUUCUUCGUUAAUGUAAACAUUAAGAAUUAAAAUUAUUAAUUAAAUAAGGAUAAUAUAAUAAAUUCACAAUUUUUCAUAUUAAAAAAAUUAAAAUUAAAAGAAAUUUCAGAUAAUGGAUCUUAUUUUUAUGGAACACAACUAUCCAUUAUCUUUUUUUAAUUCUAAAAUAAAUUUAAAUUUUUUUAAAAAAAGCCUCUCGUAGGCGCAGAAGCGCAUGCAGAGAGGCUAGUAUAUAUAAAGCAAAAGACAAGAAUAAACAUUCAAAAUACUAGAAAAUGUUCUUUGUUAAUUUAAACAUUAAGAAUUAAAAUUAUUAAUUAAAUGAGAAUAAUAUGAUAAAUUCACACAUUUUUAUAUUUAAAAAAAAUUAAAAUUGAAAGAAAAAUCAGAUAAUGAACUUUAUUUUUAUAGAAUACAACUACCCAUUAUCUUUUUUAAUUCUAAAAUAAAUUUUUUUAUUAUAAAAAAACCCUCUCGCAGGCGCAGAAGCACGUGGAAAAAGCUAGUUGUUUAUUACAAAGUAGAGAGUAUGGUAAUAGGACUAAUCGACUUUUUCUUAUCCUUGCCAAGUUUGGGGAGCUCGGUGAAUUCCAAUUUUUUUUUGUUGCUUUCAAUUUCUGCCGAUGUGACCAAAGAACUUGUGAGGAUGGCUUAGUGGCAAGAGGGUAAGCAUGAAACAAGAGUUAUAAACUUGGACGUUCGAAAUAUAAAUCUUAUAAUAAAAGAUUACUCGAGUUUAUUUAAUACAUGUAGUUUGCAAGUGACCGAGUUUGGAGAGCUCGGUAAAUGCAACAUUUAGUUUUGUUCAAUUCAAUUUCUAUCAAUGUGGUCAAUGAGUCUGUUGAUAAGAGGGUAAGUAUGAAACGAGUUCUGAAUUCAUAUGUUUUAAAUGUUUACGAGUUGAAUUCUACAUUUAUUUUUGUUGACGUGACUUAUGAAUCAAUAAAAAUAGUGUGGUGGUAAAAGAGUAAGCAUGAGACGAGCUGUAAACUCAAACGUUCUAAAUGUGAACUCUCAUGUCACGAGCAAAAAAAAAAUCUCGAAUUUACUUAAUGCAUUUAAUUUGAUACUAAUAUAUGUAUGAAUUUAUCCAAAGGCAUUGUAACGAUUAAAAAAAAAAGACCAUUUUCCUAAUUGUGUUGUCAAUUUUUAGUGAAACAAAUUAGGAGAGUGACCUAUGCGGUUUUAUGGCACCGUCUAAGAUUAUGCCAAGCAAGGGGAAGCGCAACAUUUAGGUGGGGUGGAUGUGGAUUGAUAGGUGUUAGGGAUCACAUGGUGCCUCUUUUGACAGUCUAACUAAGAAGGUAGGUAUAUUAUUACUAUUUAUGAUAUACAAUUAGUGUGACCAUUGACCUUUUUUCUUAACUUUCUUUUUCUAGAGAUCAUGAUUGAACUUGACUCAACCCUUCAAUAAUUUUGCUAUUCUUAAACAAUUACAACUUACAAUAUAAAUUUCUUCUUUCUAAAUAAAAAGCGAUUACAAAUAAACAAAAACAAGUACAAAGCAACUAUCACAAUCGACUUCAUAUGAAUUUAAUUAGAACCAAAAGCAGGAGAAGAAUUACUCUCUUUUCCAUCAUCCCCAAAAAGAAUAUUCAGUUAUGUCCUACAUCCUUUUUUUUUGGUUCUCUUCAUACUUUGCAUAAAAUUAAAAAAAAAAACUUGACCAGUGUGAUUUUCUGGUUUCUUGAUUGUCUGAUUUGUUUGCCAUGGAUUGGUGUUUAAUCACAUCUCUCAACUCACACGCAAUCUCAGUGGAUGCUAAAGGUGGCAUCCACUGCUGCUGACAGCUGUUACUUCUUGACUUUUUCUGAUAUGCUCUGUAGCAGUGUACGAAAAUGGCUUCCUCAGAAGGAAAAGGCCCAAUCAUUAUCCAUGUCUAGUAGGGUUAACUGAUUUGAGGUCCAUCACAAGCAAGGACUGGGCCAUUUUUUGACAACAAUUAUUCCAUCAAGGACAGAACCAUAAAUUCUUAUGUGGGGAGAACUUUAUUUAUGCAUGUAUUCAUCUCAAUGGGUAAAUAUGAUUUGAUAAUGAGCUACCAAAAAAUGUGUAGGGUGUGAAAAAGGAAAAAAAUAUUUUUGAACAAAGUCAUCCUAGCUUCUUAUUUUUCACAAAGAUAACAAUUUUGUCACAAAUAAAUAAACAUCCUAGUAAGGUAAAAGAACUUGAUUCAACAUUAUAUCGGGCAAAAGUUCGACUCUCGUCUUUGAAAAUAAAAAAAUAAAAAAAUUUCUAACAAGGAAGAACCCCUUGGCCAUUAGCUAUGCUGAUACUCUGGCUCAUCCGCAGUUGGGAAAGAGAUCUUACUAAAACUGAGGACAUUCGAUCUAGCUGCCUCAUCGAUCGUGCCUUCAAUGAUCCACACUGCACAAGAACCGGUUUCGAUGAAGGAGAAGAAGAAGAAGAAGAAGAAGAAGAAGAUAUUGAAGAUGAAGAAGAGGGCUUGUCAUCACUUUCUCUGUAUAUGUCAAUAAGAACAUGGGAUUGAUCCAAAGACAAAGACCUCUCCAACCCCUUCGCAAAACUUCGCUGCUUAUUAUGCUCCUCUAUAGGCAACACCACCAGAGACACACAAUGCCUAAGCAAACAAUUUGGUUUUGGUAAUUGGGUUGAAUUCGUAGUAGUAAUAGAAGCGCUAGGUACACCCUGCUCUGGAUCAUGAGGGUGUGGUGAGUAAUUAAUCCCGGUUUCGGCUUCUGCUUCUACUUCUGCUUCCACUUCUCUGUCUCUAACUUGAUCAUGAUCAUUUUCCACAGGCAAUGCUGCCACAGAGACAAUAGGCACAGCUAUGGCUGCCCUACAAACUGGACAAUUUGUAUGUCCCAAAAACCAUUUGUCUAUGCAUGGAUUGUGGAACACAUGCUUGCAGUUGGGCAACAAACGCACCAUAUCUCCAUCUUCUAGCUCACCCAAGCAAAUCACACACUCGCUUUGAUCGACCUGAAAAAGUUCACAAUUUUUGGUUGAGUAUGAGAGAAUUGGGAUUGAACUUAGGACUUUCUCAUCAACCCCAUUGGAUUGGCUGAUUGGUGGUUGCUGCGAGAGGCUUGCUUGUAAUUGCAUCUGCAUCAGCCUCUGCCUUCUCCUGAGGCAGAACCUAACCACAAUGAAAUGGUAUGCAACUAUUGCUAGGGUUGUGGAGACUAUGCCUCCCAUGGAAAUCAGAAGGGGUGUGAAGUAAGAUCCUGAGGGUGCAGCUCCUCCCACUUGAGACCCAACAUUCUCCAUCUCUCAUUUCAAUUUGGGUUUUGUUUGGUUUUUGUUUUUGGUUUUGGUCUUUAAAACUAUGCCACUAUGACACUUGGCUGUGAAAAUAUAUAUAACCACAAAGAGUGUAGAGAGCACCCUUUGAUUUCGAAAUUGUAUGCAAUAUAUUUGGGAUACGAUCAUUCGAUGCGUUGAGUGUUUCAAGUGGUUUACACGUAGCUGUUCUGGUGUGGUCACUGAGAGAGGAGCAGUUUUGUGGUACGGCUUUGCCCAAGUGUAAGCAUCAGAAGCAAAAUGGUAAAAUUUGCGAUGAUUUUAAUAUUGAAAUUAUUAAUUUUUUUUUUUUGAGUGAGUGGAUAUCAAUAUUAAUAAAAGAUGAUAGAUCGAGACAAGAAAGAUUUGGUCCUUUGGAGAAGUUUAAGCGGUGCACCUACUUUGUUUAAAUCUUGUAUGUGAGUUUGGACAGUUGGAUUGUUUAAGGGGACAGGUCACAGCCGUACAGAUGAUGAGUAGGUGCAGGUUUAUAGAGAUUCUUCGUUCUCCAAUGAAGCAAGAAUAAUUUGACUUGGGUGCCAUGGAGACUCCGUCAUCAGUGGCUUGUUGUGGCGUGUGUUGUUGGGUUAUGGUGGAUGCUGACAAUUUUCCCACACAAGAACCCAUCUAGAAGCAAUAUUUUGUGUUUAAACUUUGGUCUCUGUCUGAUUUGGAAUAUCUGGUUUUGUUGCUGAAGCCGAUCCAGGGCCUAGGAUAGUAGGCAUGUUUGAAAUCCAUGUCAGAAUGUCAUGAUUUCUGUUUCAACAUUACUAUGAAACUUAUCUUUGUAAACUCGUGCAAGUUUCAAUUUCCAUUAGUAAAAGAAAGAACAUUCAAGAAGAAAAAUGGAUUUUAUGCAAUUAGAUUCUCACAACAAAUGGGUCUAAGGUGGAUAAAAUGUGUCUACUAUGGGCCGUCUUCACCAAAUUAAGGUCCAAGCUGUGAUGGCUUGUGCCUAUUUUCUAAGGAGUCAAGACAAUGAAAACAAGGCAAGAGUAUUACAAUUUCCUACCAAGGCAGGCUGUCUGAUUCACAUAUGUAAUAAUAGGUUUCAAAUUUACGUUCAUCUCCCAAUAGUGUUAAGUUUCCAGGUCUAGUCUAGUGGAAAAUAACCUUAACUUGUAGAUCAGUGAUCUCAGGUUCGAGUCCAUAUAACACCUUAAUAAUGUGUGUAUAAGAGAAUCUACAUCCCCGUAUAGUUUAGACUAUCAAUUGUAUUUAGAAAAAAAAUGUUCCCUUAAGACAAAUGAGAAGUUUUUCUCGUGCCAAUAUUCUUCUUUCCUACUAGUCUCUUAAGGAAGCCAACCUGGGAUUAGGAGGUGGGUUAUCCAAAGUCAAGAGCCCCAAUACAAAUUUCUUUGAUGUCUCAAUAAAAAGUAUCUUUGAGGCAUGUGGCAUGGUGGAGUAUAAUGAAGAAAUCUGUAAAGUUAUAAUAAAGAAAGAAAGCUAUGUAAUUUACUCUGAAGCUUUUUUCAGAAGUUUGAUUAAGAAAUAAUAAUAACGGAGAUUAACGUGUAGAUAUAAUUCUCCUAAGCAUCAUCGAAGAAAACUCUAUAAUUUACUCUGACAUUUUAUUCAAAUGUUUGAUUAAGAAAAUACAAUAUAUUAGAUUAGUAGACUUGUAUUGUCAUCUAGCUCUUGAUCCAAGGCAGAAAAGUCAUACAAUAACUUUGUGGGACUUGACCAAUAGCCACCACUCAUCAUCUAUCUCAAACAGAUACCACAGAUUCCAUGCUCAUCUGGAAUCCCAGUGAAUCAUGGUGUCCAAAAGUCUUAGCUUCAAUCUCCAUCUUCAUCCCCACCCCUCUUUUCCCUCUGCAAUUUCCAGAAUUAAUCCAAGACCUUGUAACUUUGUCACCACCACACCGUUAUUGUCAUCAACUACCAUAACUAUCAGAUGCAAUGCCAACCAUGACCAAGCCAAUUUCCACCAUCUUUCACUUGGAAGAAGCCCCAUUUUCACCACCAUGGCAUCAACACAACACAACCCAAGUCCCAAAUUCGAUGAGUUCGAAUCCGAUCCCACGCUUACAAACGACGAUCUCAAGCCCACAACACUUGAUCAAAGGACUUUUUCCAGGUGGGAAUUGGCUAGUCUUUGGGUAGGACUAGUUGUGGGGGUGCCAACUUACUAUUUAGCUGGUAGUCUUGUUGACCUUGGCAUGGCUUGGUGGCAAGGAAUUGCAACAGUUGUAGCAGCCAACAUAAUACUAUUAGUCCCAUUGGUCCUCACUGGCCAUCCAGGGACAAAAUAUGGCAUCUCUUUCCCAGUUUUAGCCCGUUCCUCAUUUGGUAUUUAUGGUGCUCAUAUUCCCACUCUUCUUAGAGCCUUGGUUGGUUGUGGUUGGUAUGGAAUUGAGACUUGGAUUGGUGGUGAAGCCAUUUUCAUUUUGCUACCAAAUUCAAUCAAACAGUCUUCUUUGUCUCAGGUCUUACCUUGGCUUGGCACAUCACCAUUGGAAUUUGGUUGUUUUAUUGUGUUUUGGCUUGCCCAAUUGGCCAUUGUUUGGAAAGGAAUGGAUGGAAUUAGGGAACUUGAGAAAUACUCAGCUCCAGUUCUCAUCGCACUCACUUCCUGCCUUCUCAUUUGGGCUUAUGUCAAAGCUGGUGGUUUCAGCCACAUGCUUUCCUUGUCCUCUAGGCUCACCUCCAAGCAAUUUUGGUCCCUCUUUUUCCCUUCCUUAACUGCUAAUAUAAGCUUUUGGGCUACUCUUGCUCUUAACAUACCAGAUUUCACCAGAUAUGCCAAGAGCCAGACUGACCAAAUCAUCGGUCAAGCCGGGCUACCAAUCUUCAUGGGGGCAUUCACAUUUGUUGGCCUAGCUGUAACCUGCUCGACAGAAGUGAUUUUCGGGCGUGUCAUUUCGAAUCCGAUUCAACUUCUCGGGCAAAUUGGAGGGUUCACAACGAUCAUUCUAGCCAUUUUUGGUGUUAGCCUUGCCACCCUCACAACCAACAUUGCAGCCAAUGUUGUGGCCCCUGCAAACGCUCUUGUGAAUCUCAGCCCUUCAAAGUUCACCUUCAGAAGAGGAGCUAUUCUCACAGCUUUGCUUGGAAUUGCAUUUCAGCCAUGGAGGCUUCUCAAGUCAAGUGAGAGCUUUGUGUACACAUGGCUAGUUGGAUACUCUGCUCUGUUGGGUCCAAUUGGAGGCAUAAUUCUAGCAGAUUACUAUCUUAUCCAUAACAAAAACCUAAGCAUGAAGGACUUGUACUCACUAAGUCCUUUUGGGGACUAUUAUUAUUCAGGAGGCUACAAUUUGGCAGCAAUGGCAGCUCUUGUUGUUGGGAUUUUGCCUGUGGUUCCAGGCUUCUUGCAAAAAAUUGGCCUUCUUUCUUCAAUAUCAGAUGCUUAUGUGAUCAUCUACAACAAUGCUUGGUUUUUCAGCUUUUUCUCUGCCGGUUUGCUCUACUGGCUUCUGUCAAGUUUGACAAGAAAACAGAACUCUCUGCCUGCAGAAGAACCCCUCUUGCCUCCUGCAAACUAAAGGUUUCUAUUUUCCAAUUUUUAUUCAACACAAUAAACUUGUAUACAAUUUGUAAAGAGAUGAACAUUUUCUGUAUAAUAAGGCAUCUGUAGGUUGUACUUCAAAUUAAUAAAACUUUCAACAUUUAUGAGUGAUGCAUUAUUUGGUGUAUGGUUCUCUCAAUUAUCAACAAAUUAUGGGAAUAGCAAGUGGCCAGUAGCUGGCCAUGUUGUGCAUCUUGCAGCUUGGAAACCGCGAGAGAGAGAGAGAGAGACAGAGAGAGACAGAGAGACAGAGAGAGAGACAGACAGAGAGAGAGAGAGAGGGGGUUUAAGGGUUUCGACAAUGGGAAGGCACCCAUAAUAUACUCAGGGCACCCAAACAAAACAAGACACCCAAAAAGGUAUACGAACCUUUGUUAAAUUUGAUAUUCCCACCCUGUUUUAUUCAGUCAUAGCCAUGAAGUAAUAUACAUUGUGAAUUGUUGUAUUACGAUGAAUGAGAUCGCAUUCAAUCAGGGUCGGCCUUGGCCCAAGACGAGCAGGACACGAGCUCAGGGCCCAACAAGUAAAGGGGCACCAAAAAAAUAAUUUUAUCCCAUAAAUUCAUAUGCUCUCUUUCUUUUUUUUCUUCUUCGUCUGCUUCUUCUGAUCUAUAAUUAGCACUGAACCCAUAUCCAUCAUCUUAUACCUAUGCUCGCUUUGACUCAAAGAUGUGGAGGUUUCUCUUUCUCUCCUUAUAUAUAUAUAUAUAUAUAUAUAUAUGUGGAGGUUUUUUUUUUUUUCCUGGUCCUAUGCAUUUCACAGCUCUUGUAUUGUUGUGAAUCCAAUUUGUUUAUUAUGUUUUAGUCUUUUGGGUUCUUGUGGGGUGCUUCCAAAUAUUUGGAGAAAUUAUAUGAUACUUUUUUAAUUGGUUUACUGGGAUUCAAAUGAAUGUAUGAUUUUGUGAAACAUACAUAACACAUGUUAGCUUCCCUUUCCGGACAAUGUUUCAAAAAGGCCCUGAAGAAAUUAAUUAGUUGAGAAAAAAAAAAAAAAGGGCAAAUUUAUUGUUAGGGUGUGCUUUUAGAGGGGCACAAUCUAGAGUUUAGCCCGGAGUUCUGAGUGGGACGGCGUGUCACCAUGUCCGCUGCUUUUGACUAGUCAACCUUGCUUUUCAUGGCUUUUUUUUUUUUUUUUCUCUGUUCGCUUCACAGCAGACAUAAGCAUAGGAUUCUUAGAGCCCAAGUACAGGAUCUUACCUCAAAAUUUCUCCUUGAACAUCAAACUCGGCAAUCUAGCCAAAAAGAUAAACAAAUUGCUUAUCAUGGAUGUUGAUUUUCAUUUCAUCAGGGAGAUAGUUCAAUGUAAAGAUCUUAGUGUGCAAUAUGUUCCCACCGAUGAACAAAUUGUUGACAUUCUUACCAAAGGUCUUCACAGUCCCAUAUUUCGAAAAUAUUAUUUCAAUCUCAGCCUUAAUCCUUCUCACGCUGAACUUGAGAGGGGAUGUUAAGAGUAAUCACAAAUUAUCCUGAUGUGGCACUUAUGAGCUGGAAACAGCUCAGAUGCUUAUGUGGUCAGUUCGUUAAAUAGUUCACGUGUUUAGUUAGAUGUGUAGUUAAAGUUGUUACUAAACUUACUUAGUGGAGAAGUAAUCUCUAGUCUCUAUAUAAGCAUCAGUUCUAGGCUUAUUCAAUGUAAUGAAAGAACACAAUUCAGAGAAAUAUUCAGAGCCUCUCUUCCUUCUUUCUCUUACUCUAAUAGAUUAUUUUCAUCAUAGUUAACAUGCAGUACUUCUAUUAUUUUCAAAUGUCCGGAGUUUUUGGGAGAUGUCACAAGUUCAAAUUCCUCUUUUUAUUUUUUUUUAUAAAAAAACCAACAAUUACGUAUAUAUGGCUAGUUUCUAAUAUAUGAACAUAUGUUUCUACUACUUUCAUGCAUGGUGAAGAAAUCUUUCUCUUCUACUAUUAAGACUAAUUGGUUUGCAUAUAUUGAACUUAAACUAUGCAAAAUCAUUUUUCUAUAAUUUUUCUUAAGUUGAGGAAUUACAUUGACCAUAGUCUUAGAGAGAUUAAUGAUUCUCAAAUAUUUAGGUUUUGUAUACAUAUAUUUGUCAUACAUAUAUGCUUUAGAGAGAGAUUAUUGAAACUUUAAAAACUGAUGAAAGGUCAGUUUCCAGUAAUACCAUAGGUAUAAAUUAUCUUAAACUUGGAAGUAUUAACCAUAAAUAAAUAUAUAAUGUGGAAAAAAAAACGACAACUGAUCUGAUCGCAUCCAUUUUUGUUUCUCGCAGGCACCUGCAGGGCACUUGAGACCGAAGAACUUAAUUGAAGGGACAGUCAACAGAUUAUGUUCUGUACAUAUGGGGGCGUUGAGCAUGCCUUUUCUUUUUGCCUGUUUAAUCUCAUCAAUGGUCAGGUGGAGUUUAGUUGGGAGAUGGGAGAGAGGAGGAGGAUCAUCACAGAAAUGUAUCUGCCUGUCUUGACAUCUUGCAUCUGAAUUAUAUCUAAUAAUUAUUAAACAGAGAAUUCUCACACCGGUUUCACAAAAACUACCUGUUAUGUUCUUAUUAUUUAAAAUAGGUUAAAUGACAUUUGAACGUAGUUUUUGUAAUAAUUUCUUCAUCUUUUAUUUUGUUUAGAGAAAGACGAUAAAUUGCAUUCAUAAUUCAAACUGAAAGACGAUCAGUCACAAAAACCCAUCUAAUUAGAUAUCUAAUAAUUCAUUUAUUCCUAUGUAAUUAAAGUUCCUACAACCGUAAAAGUAAAAUUCACGAUCAAACUAUAUUGAACGCAGGAUCUAGAUUUGAAACAUAACCACCACCCAUUUGAAUUCGAGAAACUUGAAGUAAUUGAAGCAAUAAGAUGGUCCAAAAUUAAAAUCCGACAAAAACAAAAAUAAUGAAUUUGAAAGAGGAAAAGCAGUGGUGAGGCGUGGACUAUAUACAGGGAAGGACAUAAAAUAUAAGGCAUACAUGUACGAACACAUAAAAUAUUGAGGAUCUGACGUGGAUACGAAGCAUGCAACGAAUGAGGUCCAAAAGGACAAAAUUAUGCAGAAUUUAACUGGGGAGCACAAACCAUUAUUUGACCCUCGAACCAGUUUCCCUCGUCACCCCAACCCACACACACGUUGCCUGUUUUGCAUGGUAGGGUUGUAUUGACUUAGAGAGAGAGACAGAGAGAGAGACAGAGGGGUCCUACAAUCCUAGGUCACUCGUGCUUAACAGUUCAAUAAUAUAAGGAUUUAUUAAAGGGCAUUGAGGGAAUUCGAUAGGAAACACCCCUAAUGAUAAAAUUAUAUAUAGUAUCUUAUUAUACUCUACUAAUAAAAUUAUAUAUAUAUAUACCCAUUUUAUUAAGGGACAUCUUUAGGGUCCCUUAUAAAUUUUUUUCCAACAAUUCAAAUAAUUUAUUUUUCACAUCUUCAUCCAAAGAUCAUCCUUGUAAAAAAUCAUGCAAAUUCAAAAUCAUUAAGGCAUCUAAUUGAGAUUUUAAAAAAAUCAAUAAAUACGGUGCUUCAAGAAAGUACUUAAAUUUCAAUAAUUUGGUUGAAUGAUCAAGUGAUAUCGGAUUCAAGUGAUUAAUAUAUAUAUAUAUAUAGUUCUAGAUUAGCUAGUUAGGAUAUAUUUUAAUCUAUAACAAAACUUGGUUUUUUGUUAGCUAGGGUUCACCUAAUCUAACAACUAAUAAAUCCAACAAGAAAUUAACAUUGCUAAUUACAAGGAAAACAGUAUCAAUAUCUGCCUCCUCCUGGCAGUGGCCAGCGGGGCCUAAAUUAUAUAUAAGAUGGGAGUUAGUUGGACUAAAUUACAAACCCUAGCUAGCCAUCGACUGCGGAAACUUCCUCAUAUAAUAAGAAUAUAUGCACGCCCACGUUCAGAAAAACUUAUCAUAAUUUUAAAAAAAAAUUAGAGACACUAAUUUAAGUACAUAGUUUGAGCUUAUCAUAAUUAUAAAAAAUAAAAAAAAAAUUACGUACAAUCAUUAAUCUAAAGCACAAAAGUUUGAGCUUAACAGCUGUAUGCAUGGAUAAGUUUGUCACUGAGGAGUGUCAUUAUGACAUUUUCUGUGUGUUUUUUUAAAAAUAAUUAUUCUUUGUGGGUUAGAGGAGAACAAGAUUAAUUGGUGUCCUAAUUAAACCAAUAAUUAAUUAAUUAAUUACGUACUUACUCUUGCUGCCACAUGGCACCAGCUUUAUCACAUAUGAAUUACAUCAUAUGGAUUAUGAUCGGACGUCACAAAGAAAAUGGGGCAAUGACUCAGCCAGAAAAUAUAACCCACAACAAAAUGUCAACAAUCGAUCACGACCGGCUGCUAGGUCUCCAUGCAAGGGUUUUACUAGCACACACACAUACAUAUUUAAUUCAGAUGAAUCUAGAUAGUCUACGUUUUGUGCAGGGGAAGAAUUCAGAUCGAGAAUUAUUAUUAAUUAUUCGGUUGAGUUUUUCUGCUGUAGUUGAUUAGUUUCAGAGAAGAAUAUUCGGUCGCUCUGUACAUGUGUGAGUAUAGUAGUAUUAUUUUGUUCACUUGAAGUUGAAAAAAGUAAACUACGUUUUGUACAUAUGUUCAUAUGUUAAUGUCGCAAAUGAAUCAUUAGUGUAGUGGUUUGAAAUAAUUAUUUUUUUAAAAAAAAAAUUAUGAAUUCGAGUCCUACCAUUCGUAUUGGGUGUAUAAGUUUAGUAUAUUUUCGCCCUCUGUGAUCAACACUUCAUACACAUUAUACCACCCACAGGCUUCAAGUUAAUGCACAAACCUCUCUUUGAGGUAUAAUCAUAUAUUUUUUUUCGUACAUAGGGAUAUGACCAAACUUGUUAUUUGAUUCGUGAUCUAUCACCUAAUCUUGACUCCAUUAUAUGUGUCCACUUCAUCCAUCUUGACUAGCUAGCGUCGUGCUAUCUAGGGGCUAGGGGCUUGAGAUAUCUUCAUGUAUGAAAUAUCUUUUUGACUAAAGAUAUGAUAUUUACAAACUACGAUUUACUUUUAUGAAAGGCCAAUACGGUCACAAUAAAGCUACAACACCAAUGGUUAGCCACUCACAAUUAAGUAUGUCGAACUUACUACAAACAAUUGUAUAUCAUCAUCAUCAUCCAUGUGAAUCAGAGACUUCAUCCAACCAAGUUGAAACAAAUACCACAAGAUUAGAGGCUAAUAGGUCGUGAAAUCUUAUUUCCUUUUUGUUUUUAAGUUGUACUUUUUUUUUAUACAAAUGAUAAGAAGAAGGAGGAAUCAAACCUAAAACCUCAGGUGCAGCCACUUUUAAGUUAUUAUAUAUAUAUAUAUAUAUAUAUAUAUAUAAGAUAUAAAGAUCCAGCUAUCCUAAAAGCUAGAUCCAUAAUCUAUGAAUAAAUUGAACUAAAAAAAUUCUAUGAUAAAAGGAAGCCUAUUAGUAUUAAGGAAAAAAGAAGACCUAGAUAUUCGGUUGGACCGACAUAUAUGGUGACAAGCAGAAAGUCGUUUAACGUUCAUUAGACGUCGGAUAGUGCUAACCAAUAAUAACAAGUUUGUGUGGACUGAACGAAAGUAGUGACAAAAAGGAAAGAAAAAGCUUUGCAACUUGCCAAUCCUUUGCGAGUGAUUUACAACCAUUGCCUCUCAAGAAAAUCGUCGUUUUUCCUUUGGAUUCUUCGACAGAUGUUUGUACGUAUAUUCACCUGCUUUCUAACUCUUAUAACUACGCGUAAUUCAUACAUAUUCCUUUGGAUUCUUCGAAAAUUACAUAAUUUGUAAAAAUAUUUAAAUUUUACACAAAUAUGUGAGUAUCUAAUACACAAAACCAUAUAUAUGUACAUUUUGAUAUUCUUUUAAUUAGUGUGUUCGAAUGAAGAAUGCACAUUGUAGACCACAUCGCUAAUAGAAAUAAACGAAUAUGGUUACUAGUAAAUGUAGUAGUUUUAUUAAUUUUUUAUUUUUUACGGUUGAAAAAGAAGAAGAAGAAGAAACCGAUCGACCAAUGCCUAACUUGAUUUUACUUCAAAUCAUCCUAACAAAUGGCAUCAUUCAUAGAAUGAGUCCUAAAUGAAAAGGUAAGGUAUAAACACAACAAAAAAUUACGGCAAGACACCUCAUGGAUGGAUGGAGAUUGUGGUGUACUACCAAACGCAGUAAAAAAUAUAGGCUUGGUAAAGUGAAAAUCAAGUGUUGAAUUUUGAGUUUGACCAUGAUUAUGGAAAUUCAUACUAAAUAUAUAACUUAUUAACCCCAAAAUAAUAAUAAUAAUAAUUAUUAUAGAAAUGAAUCUUGUUUCAUACCAAAAUAAGUAAAUCAAUAAAGAAAAUCAAUUAAAUGUAUUAAAAUAAAAUCAAUAAUAAUAAUAAAAAAACCAUUAUGACCCAAAGAUGGAAAGGGACCCUAGCGAGCUACUUAUAUAAUAAUCUAUAUGUGAUGAGCUGCAUGCCAAAGUCAGCCUUGGUAUCCUGCCGUUUUAAAUACUUUGAAGGAAAGAGAGAUGAUGAACAGUAGGAAGGCUCUAGGAAAAAGAGGACAAAGCUGCCCCUAUACCUCUUGUCCCUACAACCUCGUGCGUUCUGACUCAAAUUUUUUUUUUUUCUUUGUCAACGGUUUCUGUAUCCAUGGAACCAGUCCUACGGAUUCGAAAAAACCGAAACCGGCAUCUCAAAAACUUGCUCCUGUACAUGUCAAGUCCUUCGCCAGUUUUUCUUCUAUAUAUCCCUCCAAAACUUUCCCAUUAUCCACCAUCUCCAUUUCCUCCUUGUUUAUUCCCACUAUACUUUCCUUUUAUUAUCUUUCUCUUUUUCGGAAAAAGAUAGUUGUGAGGUAGUUAUACGAAUGUCCUAACUGUUUCUUUUCAAUUUUCCUUUUGCAAACACAGUACAUCCCACGUCUACACAGAUAAAAAGUUUGUCUACCUGUGUGGGAUGGGAUGUAUGUAUACGCGUUCCUCUCACAAUCACGUGCUUGUGUUGCAGCCGUAUACAAGUUUGCGAUACAAGAAAUUUAACAUAAUUUUCCUUAAUCAUCCUUGCAGCCUUUCAGGAUUAGCUUUUGGAAUACUCCAUGUCUCCAACAAUGGCAGUGCUGACAACUGAGAAUGGGGAAAGUCAGUACCAGAAUGGAGUGAAGCGGUUGUACGAGAGUGGAAUAAGCAAAGUUCCAAGCAAGUACGUAUUGCCCAUUUUGGAUCGACCCAAUUCAAGUGACCAGAAACCAAAUGUGUCCAACCAAAAUCUCAAGCUCCCCGUCAUUGAUUUCAAGGAAUUGCAGGGUCCAAAUAGAGCCCAAGUCCUCAAGUCCCUGGCUAAUGCUUGUGAGCAAUAUGGCUUCUUUCAGGUAGGUCUUAAUUAGUAACUCGUAGUUAGGGACAUACUGAGCUUGUAAACGAGUUUAACAUCUUAAACCAUCAAAGUAAUUUGUGAUUUGUGGGUUGAUGCAGUUGGUAAACCAUGGCAUUCCAAGUGAUGUUAUAAGCAGCAUGAUCGACGUGAGCACAAGGUUCUUCGAACUCCCUUUUGAGGAGAGGGCCAAGUACAUGUCCUCGGAUAUGCAUGCUCCUGUUCGAUACGGAACUAGCUUUAACCAGAAAAAAGAUAAGGUGUUUUGCUGGAGAGACUUCUUGAAGCUAAUGUGCCAUCCUUUACCAGAUGUCCUUCCUCAUUGGCCUUCUUCACCGGUGGAUAUGAGGUGAGAGCUCGCUCAACCUAAAGCAUGGUUUUUUGGGGUAAAAUGGGAUAUGGUCGAAGUCACGUGACCUAUUAUAAUUUUAAGUUUUUGCUUCAUUCUUAUCACUUUUAUUUUACCGAAGCUUGUAUAUGUGUUAUAUUUACAGACUACAUUACUCAUCACAUCUCUGAAACAAUGAAUUCAAUUUGCAUAUAUGAGUCUCACGUGUAUUAAGUACGAGUCUACUAGAAAUUGGUCAACUAACGCCAUACAAAUAGUUGUAUUGGUAGAUUAUUUAACUCUUCUCUCAUCCUAUGUGGGUAAGUGUGCUCUUAAAGUAUUUGUUAAGAUAUAUUAUAACCUCCUAGAAUUAGGAGCUGUCCUUGCUCGUGAGAGGCCACAUCUAAUCGCUAGCUCCUUGUACCCUAGUUGAGCAAUUAGUUUAAUUCUUAAUUAACCAAUAAUUAGAAUUCUAAAAUGAUAAAUUUGAAUCAUCUUCUAGCUCUAUUCACUUAUACAUAUUGUUGUGAGAUUAAAUAUAUUGAUUGGUUUCUAUUCCAUAGGAAAUUGGCGGCUACCUACGCACAAGAAACCAAAUACUUAUUCCUAAUGCUAAUGGAAGCCAUCUUCGAGAGCUUACGACUGGUGGGAACCACAGAGAACAACACGACAGAAGAAGAUGAGAUGUUAAAAGAAUUCCAAGAUGGAAGCCAGCUAAUGGUUGUCAAUUGCUACCCGCCAUGCCCCCAACCGGAUCUAACCCUAGGGAUGCCUCCCCACUCUGAUUAUGGCUUUCUCACACUUCUUCUCCAAGAUGAAGUUGAAGGACUUCAAAUCCAAAAACAAGAUCAAUGGGUCACCGUUGAACCAAUCCCCAAUUCUUUUGUGGUCAACGUUGGUGAUCACCUUGAGGUGAGUUUAAUAAUUAUUGGGUCAGUGUUUGUUUGGUCACUUAAAAGUUAUCUGCUACAUGCAUUGAAUCACAUGUAAAUUACAUGGACGAAUAGAUUAUUAUAUAAUUCAUUAGUUAGUCUUAUCUCUAUUAGAGACGUAAUCAGCAUAUGAAAGUAGAAUACACGUGAGUUUCAUCUUCGCUAAUACAACUCUAAUUUAUUGUUUUCUUUUAACGUAUAUCCUAAGACUUGGUUUUUGUUGUGACAGAUAUUUAGCAAUGGAAAAUACAAGAGUGUUCUACAUAGAGUCUUGGUGAAUUCUACAAAAGGUCGAAUUUCAGUGGCCUCUUUGCAUACUCUACCUUUCAUGCGAUCAGUUGGACCGUCGCCGAAACUUGUCAAUGAAUCAAAUCCAAGGCUUUACAAGGACACUGAUUUUGCCAGCUUCUUAGAGUAUAUUUCAUCUCGUGAGCCUAAGAGGAAGAAUUUCCUUGAGUCUAGGAAAUUAUUUACUUAAUUAAAAAUAUAUAUUAUGCAUGGAGCCGCCAACAACUGGUGGAAAAUCUGCCUCGUUCGUUGACCUUUAGCUGUUCGAAUUACAUAUGUAGCAAUGAGUAGUUGGAAAUUAAUUUUCUCCUAUAUAUAAUUUUCUUUUUCUUUUUUGUAUUUUUAAAGUAGUUUUUACAAAUUAUGGGUUUUUUUUGACUCUCGUUGUCGCAGGGUUUUUUUAUAUAUAAUGAAAGCGUUUGAACUUUUAAUAAAAGCGCUUCCACAUAAACAUUCCUAAACAUACCCUUAAACACAAUUGUUUCUUUCAUAUCCAUUUGAAAGCACUCCUGAAAAACGGACUAAUACUCAGAGAAACCACGAAAAAGUGUUUUUGAUAUGAAUUAAAAAAAAAAAGGUCCAAACAAGCCCUUGUAUUAAUUCAUCUCUUGAUGAAGUUACGGCAAAAUCUGAACUCACAUCACUGUUGCAUGCUUCCGUAUGCAUUGGCAAAGUCAAGUUUAUAUAUACGUUGACAAAGCUUUCUAAAUGAUUUUUUCGUUUGGUCAGCAUCUUUUUUAAAAGCACUUAAUUAGGGAGCGACUUUCUUAAAUAUUAUUUGAAAAAUACAAUGCAAUUACAAAGGUUCAAGUCAGUCGUUGAGAGUAGAAAAAGAUAGCUACCGGUUUACUUGGCGAACUCAUUGAAUAGCUUCAGGGUCGUAGGGCUGUCCACUGGUGGUGCAGUGGGUGGAAGAUGCUCCACGUUUUUUUGUUUCUUCUCAAAAGUUAAAGACAGAUGAAAAAUCAACAACAAAAAUAUUUACAGUCUUGGGAUGAAUUUGAGUGAAAAAUGACUUGAAAGUGGGUUUAACCAAUCGCUGACUCAGGAAUUUUUAUAGGACUAGGUUAAUUUUAUUUUUAUUUUUAUAGGAGAUAUAUUAUAAGUUUUUCUUCUCUUGAAACAAAAAUGUGAAUAAAAUUUUGUAAAUCAAAUAAGGUCACAUUACGAGCAAAUAUAACACAAAGACGUACAAAAUAUAAAUAAAUACCAAAUCAAACACAUUGUUCAACUACUUGUGAUCCGAGUUGAGAAAGUUCCUUAGGAAUUGAAGUAUCAAUAUUAUAUGCAAAAUGUGUAUCAUUGUUAUCGCAUUACCACUUUUUUUUAAGAAUGAAUAAUUUUUUCCUCUCUUUGCCAGUCUAUUAUUAUCAUAUGGACAUGAUAUUCUAACAAUAAAUACUAGACACUAAAAAUCAUAUAUGCUAAUAAAUAAAUCAAGUUACAAAAAUAAAACAUAUAUCAACAAUCCCCAAAGCCCAACCCUAAAUAAUAGAAAAUUAACAACAACAAUUAAAAAUGGAAAUUGAAUUUUAAAAAAAGAGAAAAACUUAUCAAGAUUGAAGAAGCCACUGAAAAUAGGUUGGUACAGAGCUAUUUCUUCUAGGCUCUCAAAGUUCAAAUAUGGCGUUUUCGGUGGCUAGAAGAAAAAUUAUGAUGUCUGCUUCUAAUCAAAUGUUAGGAUUGCAUGUUUACUAUUUCCUACAUGCUUCAUGAGUGGGCUUAUUUCUACAUAGAGAGCUGAGUUUAUUUUAAAUAAAGGACUAGACUUAUUAUUUACUUUACUUAAAUUUAACUUAUACCAUUAAACCUAUAAAAAAAAAAAAAAUCAGCACUGAGGUGGAGUGACUGUGGUUUUAAUUUGUAUACUGGAUGUUCUAGUUUGUUUUGGAUGUUCAUGAUAAUUUUUUAAUUUUCGUACGAUUAGGAAUGGGUCGGAAAAUUAUGUAGCUUCUUUUUUCAUCGAGAGGAAGAUGAAGAUUUCAAACUUAUGAUACUCUAACCUAAUAUUUGAAAGAAAAAUAUCAUUAGAGACCAAUAGAUAUUUAUGACAAAUCAUGUGGUUAAUCGCUUUUUUAAACAAUUCCAAUAAAAAGAUGUGGUUGAUCACCCACUCAUUCAACAGAAAUUGGAUUGAAUUUUGAUCAACAAAAACUUUUGACAAUAUUCAAACAGUCUUAGGUCAAAAUUUCUGUAGCUGAACUUCAGUAUAGAUGGCUUUGAUUAGACCCAUGUUUCUAGGCCGACACAUGAUUUUAACUUGGACAAAAAUGGUCUUGCUAGCGUAGCCACGAGAUAGUUGUUGGCUGGAAUUGACUUGGACAUAUUAUCAACUGUCAAAUAAAGGGCACAAUUAAGGAUUGACCCAUGAGUUGCGAGAGAAUGAGAUGGAGAUAGUAUUUUUGCUCACUAUUUUACCGAAGGCACUAUCUUCUUAAUAUUUGACAAAUGUUCAUGGACAUAAUUAUGAUUCUAUAAAUACAAAAUAAAGAGUUAAUUAUGGUUAUUCCUAUGAAUACAUGUUAAAUAUUAAUAAAUGUGGUAAGCGUACAUUUGCUUAAAAUUGUGAGCAAAAACAUUUUCUUGGAGAAAAUGCAUAGGUCACGAAUGGAAAAAUAAUUGAAAGAAAGAAAAAGGAGGAGGGAGAAUUUUUCUAUAAAAAUUGAAAAGUUGAAUCAAGUUUUGUAUCGUUAGUAGUUAUAAUUUAAAUGAACAUAUAAACUUCUUAUAUACGAGAAAACAAAAAAUCUAAGAAACACAUGUUAAGGGAACCAAUUAGCUCUUGAUUCUAAUGAGAUUUAUCUUGUAAAUGUAAGAAAUGGUCACAAAUUACAAGUUAAACCGUCGUAUAAUUCGAUGUAAAAGGGAAAAAAAACCAAUAGCAUGUUUACUUGCAUAUAAUUUGUAUUUGAAUUAUUCUUAUUCCAUUUUUUUAAUUUAGUAAUAAGGGUGAUUGUGUUUACCCAAGCAAGGAAUACAAAAUUAUGUAAUUUAAAACCAAGAAUUAGAUUGAUAGGGGGAGUAAUUGAUCUCAUACUCGUUCAUUCUCUCCCGUAUUCCUUGCUUACUCAAUUCACGACUUUCACUAUAUCAAAUAAGUAAACAUACUGUAAAGAGGAAGAACAAUUUGGGUCGGUCGAAAAAGCUUGGGCCAAGAGUCGGAUUAAUUGGCCAAAGUUUUGGAAGUUCAUUCUUGCCCAUGAAUCAACUUAAGCCCAAUUGAAGCCUACAAAAAGCUGGACCAAAAUAUCUAAAGACAGUGGGAGUUGCUUACCGAUUUGCAUGUAGUCAGUUAUCUUACUUAUUUUUGACAAAUUACAGUUAGUUAUCUUCAACUUUGAAACAACACUGGCGUCGUACACUCUCACUCCUCCACAAAAGCCAUGCCUCAAUCUCUCUCCUUCUCCUCCUUCUCUCCCCUCCCAACCCCUUCUUCUCUCAAACGCACCACCCAAUUUCACUCCGUCUCCGUCAAAGCCUCCAUAGACAAAGAACCCACAUCAACCUCCAAGCCCACAACCACCUCCACCACCACAAACUCCAAGCCCAGUUCGUGGGUCAGCCCGAAUUGGCUCACUUCGCUCACCCGGACCCUGACCAUAUCCAAAAACGACGACUCGGGCAUACCCAUUGCCAGUGCUCAGCUGGAGGACGUCUCUGAGCUUCUGGGUGGUGCUCUGUUUCUGCCUCUGUUCAAAUGGAUGAACCAGUACGGUCCAAUUUACAGGCUUGCAGCUGGGCCUAGAAACUUCGUGGUGGUCAGUGACCCUGCUAUUGCUAAGCAUGUGCUGAGGAAUUAUGGCAAGUAUGCGAAGGGUCUUGUUGCUGAGGUCUCUGAGUUUUUGUUUGGUUCUGGAUUUGCAAUCGCUGAAGGCCCACUUUGGACGGUAAUGCUAUUCAAUUUAUUGUUGAAACAAAACAAAAUACACAACAAUAAUUGAAAUUAUAUUGGUGUAGAUUGUUCUAGUAUACAUAGCUCUAUUUUUGUGUUUUGUAUAUGGUUGUUGGUUUGUUAUAAUUGGAUAUGGAUGGUGCUUUGUUAAUAACGUGGCACCUUUUUUUGUGUCAGAUAAUGUGGUACCUUUACCGUAUGCAUAUCAAUUAGUAUUUCAUGAUUGUUUCAAAAUUUUCUUAUUUUUUGGAUGGGAAGGAGAAACAAAAUAAAGAUAAAGUAUUUUUGUAAUUUUAUUCCAAUUAGUAUUUCAUGAUUGUUUCAAAAUUUUCUUUUUCUUUAAACCUUAAUGGAAUCAUUAAUUUGUGUAAAUAAAAAAAUCACCCACUUUUCAUGACUUUAUCGGAAGAAAGUGAAAGCAUAUGAACUUAGCAACAUCACACAUACUUUUCGUGAUUCUACUCUAAGGAAAUGAAAAUAUGUGAAUGUAGUUAUAUAUAACGAGGUGAAGAUAUAAGAUUGCAUGCAUAUUACAUUAUUAUGAUAUGAUAAAUUGAAGUGUAUUACAUUCCACAAUUUAAUUGGGAGGUGAGAUAUUGGAGUGAACUAAAUUGAAGAGUUGAGUUGGUAGUUGGCCACAAUCAUGUCAUCCUGUAAUUCGUUUUGGUUCAGACUACAAAAUUUCCCAAUCGCCACUAUAUACAGUUUUGGAUUGUUCUAUCAGAGCACAUAUUUUGUUAAAAUAGUCACACAACUCAGUUGCACUGAAGAAUUACAAACCAAUUAUUAAUCCAUUUUCUCUUCUUUAGAAUGAUGGUUAUUAGUUGUUAUAAUUAAAUAUGUAUGGCGCUUUGGUAAUAAUGUAGCACCUAUACCUUAUGUUUAGAAUGUGUGAAAAUUGGGUAGGAGAAACUAAAGAAAAUAAAAUAAAAGUAAAGUACUUUAUUAAUUGUAUUCCAAGUGUUUAUGGAUACAACUUUUAUUAAUGUUAUUCCAUUUGUUUCUGGAUAUAACUUUUAUCAAGAAGGGGACAAAUUGAUAGAGAAGAAGAGAAAGUGUGUAGUGAGCUGUUUUCUUUCUUGACGAAACCAAAUCUUACAUUAUGGAUUGAUUGCCUUGUUAGACUUGUUUUUUUGCGUUUCCAGAGGGACUCUAUAUAGUCUAGAAUUCACUGUUACCCGAGUAGUACAUGGAACUAUGAAAUUUGGUCUCAGUAAUGCUUCACUCAUGUUAUCAUAGUUUUCACCCAUCAAGCUUUCAACAUGCGACACUAAAUAGAUGAAAGCUGGAUAUGUCUCAAUUGGUUGUUUUCCCCAUCUCAUUUGUGCGUAAUAUAUGAUUCAUAGUAGGCUAGACGCAGGGCUGUGGUGCCAUCUCUUCACAAGAAGUACUUGUCGGUGAUAGUUGAUCGGGUAUUUUGCAAAUGUGCUGAGAGAUUAGUGGAGAAGCUACAAUCUGAUGCACUUAAUGGAACAGCUGUAAACAUGGAGGAUAGAUUUUCUCAACUAACUCUUGAUGUUAUAGGCCUUUCUUUAUUCAACUACAAUUUUGAUUCUCUUAAUGCUUAUAGCCCUGUUAUUGAUGCUGUUUACACUGCAUUGAAAGAGGCGGAGCUUCGCUCUACUGAUUUAUUGCCAUAUUGGAAGGCAAGGUCUCUCAAGUCUCCUAAUCCUCUGCUGAUGUGUAUAUAUAUAUAUAUAUAUUUUUUUGGGUUUUGAUCCUAGUUGGUGAUGUCGUUUUUUGGUUGUUGCAGGUUAGUGCUUUCCGUAAGAUAAUCCCAAGACAAAUAAAAGCUGAAAAAGCAGUUUCAGUGAUCAGGAGUUCUGUUGAAGAACUUAUUGCUAAGUGCAAAGAAAUUGUGGAAGCUGAGGGUGAGAGAAUUGAUGAGGAAGAAUAUAUAAAUGAAACUGAUCCAAGCAUCCUUCGCUUUUUGCUUGCAAGUAGAGAAGAGGUCGGCAUAUACUAGCGUUCAUCAUGAUAACUGUUCUCUUAUAAAUUUAGAAUCCACAUUUAGAGAGCUUUAUUUUGGUUAGGAAUGUCAGCUACUUUGCUUGAAUAAAUGUUUAUGCUUUGACAGAAUUAAGGUUCAUGUUGAAUAGGAGAACACUAUUUUUGUUAUUUAAAAACAACAUUCAUCUUCUCACAUGGUAACAGUUCUAUGAAUGCAAACUAGUGAGAACACCUGCAGAUGCAUAUGCCGAAAAUACUCAUCUCAUUUUGCUUUGACUAGUUAAUACUCUGAUUUCAAUUUGAAGGGGUGAUUUGUAAUUACACUCAGCUUUGAGACUGCCUUCAAUAAAGUUGAAUAAGUCAUUUCCUAAACUGUGAGCAUCAAAAGUUAAAAAUGAAGGUUUUUGUGAAUUCCUAAUUCCUUUAUCAUUGCAAGCAGUUGUUAGCUUAGUUUUAAAUCUAUUUUUUAUGUGUAAGUGAGCCUAUGCUUGGUUGUAUUGGACUUCUGUAUAUCUGCAUCUAAAUGUUCGUUUGAGGAAGACUGAAGAUGUUGUUUAUUAAUCUAUAAAAGUAAAGACUAGCACGCUAUAUAUUUUGGUUCUAAAGUGAAGACUGAGGACUGAGGACUGAAGACACAAUACUUUUCAGGUAUCGAGCAAGCAAUUACGAGAUGAUCUUCUGUCUAUGUUGGUUGCUGGACAUGAGACUACUGGUUCAGUGUUGACUUGGACACUUUAUCUUCUAAGUAAGGUACCUUUCCUUGUAUGUGUUUCUUUCAUACCAGUAGGUUACUGAGGUAUCAAUUAUUACUCUACUCUUCAUGUAUUUGAUUAUUUUCUUAAUGCAGAAUUCCCACUCAUUGGUGAAAGCACAAGAAGAAGUUGAUACAGUUUUACAGGGACGGCGUCCUUCCUACGAUGAUAUAAAAAAUCUAAAGUUCUUGACACGCUGUAUUAUGGAAUCAUUGCGUCUCUUUCCACAUCCUCCUGUAGGUUAUAGUUCUUCUCUUCCAUUUAUGUGAACUGCAGUGCAGUUAAGAAAAAUUUGAAAUCCAUGUAUAAUAUAAGUUCAUAUUUACUCAUCUUUUUUCUUGGUGGUUCCACUGCUUUAAUUUAUUUAGGUUUUAAUAAGAAGAGCUCAAGUUGCUGAUGUGCUCCCAGGAAAUUACAAAGUCAAUGCUGGUCAAGAUAUCAUGAUCUCAGUAUACAAUAUCCAUCAUUCUUCAGAGGUAUCACCUUAUGUUAAGUUUGGAAAAACUUUCUGUUAUUUUUUGAAUUUCACAUUUCCUUCUUCUUGAUUUUAGAUUCCACCUAAACUUUGUCUUUGUGCUUCCACUCUAGUGCACCAUAUAUCUUACUUAACAACCAAAAUAUGAGGUUUAUUGAAACUGAAAAAUGAAAGUACAUAAUCGAUGCACAAUUUGUCCAGACCAGCAAUCCAACGAUGGAAACAGAACAUUGAAGAAAAAAGAAACUGAAAUGUGAAUUUGUUUCACUUAUUUUCUUGGCAAUUAAAAGUGUAUUUGGUGUGUAUUUUUCUGAUGAUUUUACAAGGUGUGGGAGAGAGCAGAAGAAUUUUUACCCGAAAGAUUUGAUUUGGAAGGCUCUGUACCUAAUGAAACAAACACAGAUUUCAGGUACUUUUAAUCUAUGCCCUUUUCGGGAUGUAGUAGCUGCUACAUUAUCUCUGGACUUUUUCCUCCUUGGUGUUCUAUCUCAUAUAGGUUCUUUCUUUGCAUUUUUCCAUUUACCAUUAAUUUGUGGGUGAACAAAAUUAUCUACGGUAGGUUCAUUCCAUUCAGUGGAGGGCCACGAAAGUGUGUCGGUGAUCAGUUUGCUUUGCUGGAAGCUAUUGUUGCUCUGGUCAUCUUCAUUCAGCACCUCAACUUUGAGCUGGUUCCAGAUCAGAACAUCAGCAUGACAACAGGAGCAACAAUUCACACUACAAAUGUAACGUUUCUAAACUCACAUGCAAAAACCUUAUCACAUAUAGUGUACUGACACAUAUUUCCUUAAUAUAUAAAAUCAAUGAAACUAACUGUCACAUUAUUCAUCACAUGUGACGGGAUCCAUGUGGGACGUUAAUGUAAUUAGAUGCCAUCUCUGUGACUUGUGAUGUUAUCAGUAUGUGGUACAUAUAACAUCACUCAUACAAAAUGCUUCUCUUUGGCCUGUCUGCGACUGUUUGUGAUCUAAUCGCGAUCGUUGUAAUAAUUAACAUGGUUUUCAAGCAGAUGAGAGGACAAAGAGGAAGAAGUUUUAUUUUAAAUCAAUAAAAAGGUUGGACUUGCCUCUUCAGGAAUUGCAUAGGGUCUCCUAACAGUGUGCUGUUUGUUGCAGGGUUUGUUUAUGAAAUUGAGCCAACGGCAAGCAAAACCAGCAUUCGCAACUUCAUCUUCUUCUACCUCUUAGCGUCUUGUUACUUGAACAACGCGUCAGAUUGAUGGGAGAAUCCUAGUGUCCUUUAGAAAUGCAUUGACGGGAGAAUCCCAAUGUCCUUUAGAAAUGUGAAGAGUCUGUACAAGUAUUGAUUACCAAAAUGAACUAAUGAUGUUUAGAAAGAAAGAAAAAAAAGAGAGCCAGAGAGAGAGAGAGAGAAGAAGCAAGAAAGACUGGUGUUUGUUUAUUUGCACUUUGAAACCUUAUUUAUUUCUAACAAAGAUGAGAUUUAUCUAAUAUGUCACAUUACUAAAUAAUCAAAUUAACAUUGGAGAAGAAAUUAGGAACUGGCGCAUUUCAAAUAAUGUUCAAUGUUUAUAAGAUAAAAUAUCAUUUGCUUUAGACCAUUAAAGAAUUUUUCAUCAAGAAUGAUCUUUUUGUUGUGCGCGGUGGAAGUGGAUUGCACUGGAUGGUGGAUAUGAAACCAUUCAAACAACAAGAGCAAAAUAUGAAAUAUGGAAAUCCAAACGACACCAAAGAUUUAUAUUGGUUCAGUCCGUGUGUAGCCUACAUCCAGUUCGAAGACAGCUAGAAAUUCCUAUAGUAUCCCAAAAGAGAUUAUAACCAAAUGAGAUUAACCCUCUCAACUAUCCUAAGAAUUAGAGUUUAACCCUCACAACCCAAAUCACAAUUACACCCAAGUCACUCUCAAGCUAACCACACACACGAGCCAAGAACGUCAAGUAGCUCACUAGGAAAGAACACACUAAGAACAAUACAAAGAAAUAAACCUCCUACAAACACAAGGAACAAAUGAAGAAGACUCAGCCUUUGAAAUGGCUUGAUCUUCGCUCAACAUCUUGUGUAGCCAAAGAGGAGUUUAUCUCCACCUUCAUGGUGAUGCUCUCUAGUGUUUCCCUCUAUGUGGAAGUGUGUCUCACUUCUGAUUUAGCCUCUCUGAGAAAUGGUGCUCACGGCACCUCCAAAUGGUGAGGCACAAAUGCCUACUCUUCCAAUGCCUUAAGCCUCUCCCUUAGAGCAACUCCAGUGGCAAGCCCAACCAGAGGCUGGGGGGAGAAAAAAAAAAAAAAAAAACCCAGUUCCAGCGAGGAGCCCAAGCCCCGGUUGGGAGUGGGACCCAUGAAGUCGGGCUGGCCCUCAGGCCAGUUCAGCCCUAGUUCAAGCCUGAGGGCUGGGCUGAUUUCAUUGCUGACGCCAGGCUGGCGUCAGCCCACUCAUUUGGUUUUUUUUUUUUUCUGUUGCCAUGUGGCGUCGUCUGGGCUCUCCGAUCGGAUUUUUUCCUCCAAUCCAACGGCAGCCAAUUUUUUUACAAUAAAAUAUUGAAAAAAUUCAAAAUUUUUAAAAAAAAUUACCCAAAAAGUAAUGAAUUUUUUUCUAUAAAUACCAGCCAAUUUUUUUUUAAAAUUUAUCUGAAAUUUGAAAUUAAAAAUUUUAUCCGAUUAUGAGAUAUGAAUAGUAUUGACAUGUAAGAGCCCGAAAAUAUUAUCCAAAUUAAUUAUUGAGGUAAAAAAAUUUGUGAAAAAAACAAAAAAAUGAAUAGUAAUUGCCCUUUGCUAUGGCAAUGGAUGGAAACACAAAAUACUAUUUGUAAGGGCAACCACUAUUUACGUGAAUAGUGGCUGCCCUAGCUCCCCACUUGCCAUGGCUAAGGGCAAAUGGGUAGAGUUGCUCUUAAAUCAGAGAGACUCACUAACAACUUCCACGUGAAAAGAAAAAAGCCAAACUAUGUGCUGGAAGUCAUCAUUGUUGUUGACAUGAAACACUUCUUUUUUAUUUUUUUAUUUUUUAUUUAUUUUGUUGUUGUUGAGAUAUUUAGUUAUAUACCCAUUCUUAGCACUAAUGAGAUAGAUCAAUCUUAUACCAUUUAAUUUCUAUAAACAAAAACAAAACAAAAAAAAAACUCAAAAAAUGACAGAAUUAGAAUUGUAAGAUUGAAGGGGUUGAAAUAGAAAAUAAAGUAUAUCAAAUACAUAUGAUUUAAAACUUACACGUUAGAGUUAAAUAUUUUGAACUUAAUCAUGUCUAAUUUAUUUUAGAAAGGCAAUUAAUUUAAAUUACAAGGUGUCGAUUAUUAAGUGUAUAUAAUCAUGUCUAAUAUAUUAUUAUUAAGUGUAUAUAAUAUAGUAUAGAAGGGAGGUAUACAAAUUGGGGGGCCAAGGCCACUCCUGGCCUAGGAGUGGCUCUGCCCCUAGCUGGCCCUAUUGAAUUUACUUUUGAUUAUUAAAUUACUUUGAUACCUUAUUGAGUGUUUUGGGAUUAUACUUAUUUUAAGAAAUCGAUGUCAGUUUUGUAAUUGAUAAGAAGUUAGAAGUCUCUUUGUUAUGUUGUAAAUGAACUUUAGGUGUAUUUUUAAAAUUCAUUUCAUAUAUAGUUUUUCUUAUUUCAUAAUUUUAAUUUUUUUAUUAAUUGUAAUAGUGAAUCUCCCUUUUUUUUCUUCUUGCCUUGGGUUGCCCAAUGGAGCCAAGGAAACACAAUAUCACAUCCACAUAGGUUUAUCAAUAAAAAACAAAGCCACCGGAAGCACUUGUGAAGCCAACAAAGUCAAGGUAGGUGCCCAUAACAAAAGAAAUCUCAUGCCAUCAAAUUUGAGCCAAUUCCAACACUUUUUUCUUGUCAGAGCUUCAAGAAAUUGGAAAUAUCAAUGGAAUACAUAAUACAUAUCUGUAAUAAGUAGCACGUACAUUCAUCUUCCUUUUGGCCGUUGUUUUUUACUUUUAUUACUUACAGCCAAAAAAGUAUUUUCUUCCUUCAUUCAUUUAAUUUAAUUUUUUGGAUGAUGAUCUUUUCUAUUGAGAGGAUCGAUAAUAUAUUAAACUCAUACACUAGAACUCGAACCCAGGACAUUACCUGAAAAAGCAAUUACUUCAAACCAUUAUACUAAUGGGUCUUUGUAAUUUCUUCUUUCUGUACUUUAUCUAGAUUCCUUGAUCUUACCAAAAGAUAAAAAUUCAUAUUCAUUAGUGACCAUUUACUAAUUUCAUUUAACAUUUAACCAAAAAAAUUCACCAACUAAAAAAAAUUAUUGACUUUUCAUUGGCUGAUCAUUUUUCCUAGACAGAAAUUAUCUUUCUUUUGAAAGUAAUUCUUACUAAAUUCGGGUGUAGAUUAGAGAGCACACUACUUGAUUAAGUCAAUAUCUGCUAUAAAUUGAUGAGUUGCAUUUAAAUUUAAAAUUAUUUUACAUGAAAGGAACCGUACACCAUGUAGAUCCAUAAGUCCAUUAGAAGAAUACAAAGAUAAAUAAAAUAAAAUCUCUAUAUACUUUCUCUUUUUCAUAAUCAGCCUAUCAGGUUCAUCACAUGAACGCCAGAGACAAGCUGACACCUCGAGGAUCGAGCCUUGAGUUUUUCUCCGCCACAGAAACGCUCCUAAACUCACAGCAAUACGUACUUCCUCUUCCUCCAGUUUUGUUUUUUUUAAUAUUUUAAAAUUAAAUUUUAAAUUUUAAAAAAAUAAUAGAUAAUUAUGUUUUAUAAAAAAUAAAAUUUAUUAUCUUAUUUUUUUAAAAAUUUAAUAUAAAAAAUAUGAAUUUACUAUAUCAUUCUUAUUUAAUUAACAUUUUCAAUUCUUAAUAUUUAUUUUUUGCUAUAUAUGUUAUUUUCUUAAUCUUAAUCUCGUGUUUUUCUUCCCUUAAUUUCUUUUUAUAUGUUAUGUUCUUCCAGUAUUCCAGAUUUGCUACUGGUUGUAGUUUGAUUCCUUGCUGUGCUUAGGAGCUUUUGCCUCCUUUUCAAUGAAUAUUUCGAUUAUCGUCCAAAUUAAAGGGUAUUUUAUCUGUAUUGUCCAAAAUAUGAGGAGAGAGAGUUUUAGAUAAAUGCUUGAAUUAAUAAUUAAAGGGUAUUUUAUUUGUAUAUAUAAAACAAAAGACAGAGAAUGGUGAAACAUUCAAAAUAUAAAAAAUGUCAUUGGUUAAUGCAAACAUUAAGAAUUGAAAUUAUUAAUUAAAUAAGAAUAAUAUGAUAAAUUUAAACUUUUUUAUAUUUAAAAAAUUAAAAUUAAAAAAAAAGAUAAUGGAUCCUAUUUUUAUGAAACACAACUACACAUUAUCUCUUUUAAUUCUAAAAUAAAUUUUAAAUUUUAAAUUAUAUAAAAAAAAAAAAUCUCUCCAGGCGCAGAAGCACGUGCGGAGAAGUUAGUGAAUAAUAAUAGAUGAUAAGAUAGAAUUGUAUUUUUCUAAAUUUAAACAGUGAGGUAGAAAUAACAGCAUUCUACCCACUUAUCAUAUUUCUCCACCUACCUUAUCUUCAAAAUUUUAUGGACAAUAUAGGUUUUGUAGAGAAACAGAAAGAGGAGGGAGGCACGAGAAGAAGCUGAAAGGUAAGUAAGCUAAUAUCUUUGAGCUGAACAUGGAGAAUCACGUCAGUCACGUGACCACCACCGCAGAGCAGCCCAGCAACGAAGCCAGACUGGGCAUACUGGAGCUGGCCAACAUGAUCAGCGUCCCCAUGUCCCUAAACGCCGUCGUUCGCCUCAACGUCCCCGAUGCCAUCUGGCAAGGCGGCUCAAACUCGCCCCUCUCCGCCUCCGCCAUCCUCUCACAUGUACUCCCCGACGGAGGCGGCGACGCCGAGAACCUCCAGCGCAUCCUUCGCAUGCUCACCAGCUACGGUGUGUUUGCGGAGCACCUGGUCAGCGCCGACGACGACGGCGGCUCCCAUCAAAGAAAGUUCUCCCUCACCGAGAUUGGUAAAACGCUCGUCACCGACCAAAACGGUCUGUCGUACGGCCCUUACAUCCUCCAACACCACCAGGUUUUGUAAUUUUAUAUGCUCGUUGACACAAUCUCACUCGGGUGUCAAUUGAUUUUUUACUGUUUUGUUUUGUUUAAGAUUAAUAAAGUAAAACUUGGUGUAAUUGUGUGUUUUUUUUGGAUUUUGUUUAGUACAAGUUAUAGUGGUGUAUUGAAUUAGGAUUGUAUAUGAUUUUGAAUUUUUUUUUUAAGUGACAGAUUUUUUGGAAAUAUAUAACUUUUAUAGAUUUUAUCCGGAUUAAAAAAAAAAACUUGUAUAGACUUUUAUUAUAAACUUUCUUACUUUUCUAUAAACUUUUUUAUAGAUUCAUAUGUAUUUACAUAGACUUUAGUCACAUUUUCUUCCCAACACUUUUUUUUUUGGCCAAACUAUGGAAGAAUUUUCAACACUUCCUGAAUCUAAUUGGGUUCGCGGUGGUGGAGGAACUGGAUUGAAAAAAAGAGAGCUUCUAGUUGUAAGAUAUCUGAUGAAACCGUCGCUGGAAUUGAGAUCUCAUUCAAAUUUUAUGAAAAUAUAAUUUUGUUUUUAUGUUUAAAAAAAUUAAUAUAAAAAAUUAUUAAUCUAUGAUAUUAUCCAAAUUUGAUGAAUAUUUUCAUAAUAAUGUUGAAUUUUAUUUUUGAAGGAUGUGCUAAUGGGGGCGUGGCCUAUGGUGCAUGAGGCUGUGGUGGACCCCACGAUAGAGCCGUUCGUGAAGGUGAACGGUGAGCCGGCGUACGAGUACUAUGGGAAGAAGCCGGAGAUGAACGGCUUGAUGCAGAGAGCAAUGUCGGGUGUAUCGGUGCCGUUCAUGAAGGCAAUAUUGGACGGCUACGAUGGAUUUGAAGGAGUGGGGAGAUUGGUUGAUGUGGGUGGGAGUGCUGGGGAUUGCCUGCGGAUGAUCCUACAGAAGCAUCCUAGUGUUCGGGAAGGGAUUAACUUUGAUUUGCCUGAGGUCGUUGCCAAGGCACCAACUAUAGCUGGUGAGAUUAAUUACUGUAUCAUUACUAGUCUCUCCGCACGCUCUUCCGCGCUUGCGAGAGGCUUUUUUUUUAAAAAAUUUAAAUUUAUUUUAGAAUUAAAAAAGAUAAUAGGUAGUUGUGUUCCAUAAAAAUAGGAUCCAUUAUCUGCUUUUUCUUUUUCUUUUUCUUUUUUAAAAUAUGAAAAGUGUGAAUUUACCGUAUUAUCCUCAUUUAAUUAAUAAUUUGAAUUCUUAAUGUUUGCAUUAACCAAGGGCAUUUUCUGGUAUUUGGAAUGUUUCACCAUUCUCUGCCUUUUGCUUUAUAUAUACUAGCCUCUCUGCAUGCGCUUCUGCGCCUGCGAGAGACUUUUUUUAAAAAAAUUUAAAUUUAUUUUAGAAUUAAAAAAGAUAAUAGAUAGUUGUGUUCCAUAAAAAUAGGAUUCAUUAUCUGAAUUUUCUUUUAAUUUUAAUUUUUUUAAUAUGAAAAAUUGUGAAUUUACCAUAUUAUCCUCAUUUAAUUAAUAAUUCUAAUUCUUAAUGUUUGCAUUAACCAAGGGCAUUUUCUGGUAUUUUGAAUGUUUCACCAUUCUCUGCCUUUUGCUUUAUAUAAUAAUUCUAAUUCUUAAUGUUUGCAUUAACCAAGGGCAUUUUCUGGUAUUUUGAAUGUUUCACCAUUCUCUGCCUUUUGCUUUAUAUAUAUAGAUAGAUUAAAUGCAUUAGUUAAUCAUCUGUUAAAUAAAUCUUAUUUUGGCAAAAUUUUAAAAAUUAUGAUCAUAUAUUGCAUUAAAAAUCAGUCUUGUGUGUAGAUUUUUUCACCUAAUUCUCUCGAUCGAUCUGCAUUUACCCUUCGUUUCUUCAAUAAUUACUUUCGCCUUUACUCGUAUUAAAAAAAAAAAAAAUUCAGUCCUAUGUUAACCUAAACGAGCUCAUGUAUAUGUUAAUGAUUUUUGCAGGAGUGAGUCAUGUUGGUGGUGACAUGUUCAAGUCAAUUCCCAGUGGAGAUGCUAUUUUCAUGAAGGUAAGUGCAAACCCAUUAGGUUGGGAAAAAACUGUUUUUUAUUUAAAACAUACAAAUGGAGAAAACUCAUUUGAUCAUAUUCUUCUAAAUUUUAAAUAAUGAUAAAACAGGGUAAGAAUUACUGACGCAUAUUAUAUAUAUAUAUAUAUAUAUAUAUAUAUAAGUAAGAUCAUCCAUGGACUUUCUAAACUUCAGCAUAUCCUUCUUCCAUUUACCCAAUCAAACCAAAUUGCUAUGCUUGAAAGCAUAUCCUUCUUACAUAGAAAAAAACAAGAAAGCAUCUUUCUCAAUAUAUUUUAUGACUCAUUUAACUAUUUUAAAUGCAUCAAUCAUGAUGAACAAGAUUAUAUAUAUGGAGCUCUUAUUUGAGGGACACCUUUGUAGGGCCUACUCCAUAUUAUAUUUCACUAAUUCAAACCAUCUAUUUUGUAGAUGAUCAUUCAAAGAUCAUUUCUACAAAAAAUCACUUGAAUCCGAUAUCAUUUGACCAUUCAAUUGAAUUAUUGAAAUUUUAGUACUUUCUUGAAGUACGGUGUUCAUUGAUUUUGUAGGACACAAUUGGAUAUCGAAACGGUUUCCGAUUUGGCUAAUUUUUUGCAAGGAUGAUCUAUGAAUGUAGACUUAAAAAAUAGAUGAUUUGAAAAAUUUUGUAGGAAACCCUAAAAAGUGUCCCUCAAUAGAAGGGUACUAUAUAUAUAUAUAUAUAUAUAUAUAUAGGCUUCUAGCUCUAAGCUUUCCAAAAUGAGUUAAUGUUUCCUUUAUUUGAUUUUGAGUUCAUAACACAUCAUUUAUUCAACAAAUGGUUAACUAAAUUAAGAAUAAGAACAAAAAGGAAACCUUUGGUUUUAAACCAUCAAAUUUCAUUUCACCUCAAAGAGCUAAAUACAAGAAGUAAAACACAAAAGGAGGGUCGUUACAAAGUAAAGAACUACAAAUUUUGUAAGGCAAUGAGCCGGGUGUUAAAGUAUGAUCAGAGUUUUAGUCGGUUUCUAGUGAGUUGGAUUUUAGUUUUGUGUAAUGAAUUUGCCCAUUAUCUUGUACAAUUUGUAGUUCUUUGACUUUUUGUCAAAUUUAUGUAGUGAUUAGAAGGUUAAUUAUCAUGAUUAUUAUUAUUAAUACAUUAAUUGUAUCACUUGGCAGUGGGUUUUAUCAACAUGGACGGAUAGCGAAUGCAAGCUGAUCAUGGAGAAUUGUUACAAAGCGCUUCCAGUAGGAGGGAAGCUGAUAGCUUGUGAGCCGGUGUUGCCAACGAAAUCAGACGACAGUCCUAGGACGCGUGCCCUCCUAGAAAACGACAUAUUCGUGAUGACAAUCUAUAGGGCCAAGGGCAAGAAUCGGACUGAGGAUGAGUUACGGCAGCUUGGUCUCUCUGCUGGCUUCUCUCAUUUCAAACCAAUCUACAUCGAUUAUUUUUACACCGUCUUAGAAUUCCAAAAGUGAUAAGUGUAGUUUGGCUUUAAUUUGGAAUUUUUCAACUGUAUGUUUCUAUUUGAUUAGAGCAAAUGAAGAGUAAUAUAUAUAAAUUAACUCUUUCAAGGUAAAAUACUCUACUGCCAACCAUUACACAAUACAUAAUAUGUAAUGUACGUGAUUAAAAAGAAUGUUAGAGUUACACGUGAGCAGUGGUGGUUCUAGGAUUAAAAAGCCGGUUGGGCAAAACUUACAUAUAAAACUCGACGAUACGAGUGAAUUUCAUUAAUAAACAUAAAAAGAUACACCUAGUUAGGAGGACAUAAUGAGUCUUACCCUCAAAUGCAUCUCUAUCCAUAAAUAAAAGUUCAACAAAUACAAAAUCUAAAACUAAAACCAAAAGUAAAUGCAUGUCCAAAAGUAAAACCAUCAAAAAUAAAGGUUGGGUGUGACUGAUUCAUGUCAAAAAGGAAGCAUGGAAAACAAAAUACCUUAUUCUUAGCAAUUGAAUGCUCAAGCCAAGUGAAUUGGCCAAACCACUUUUUAUUAAAUCGACGAAAGUCCCACCCUUCUAAGUGGCUUGGAUAAUCUUCUAAGUCAGGUUGACAUGGUCCUAAAAGAAUAUAUGCUCUUCGCGCAUUAUUUUGUUCAUUCACCGGAUAUUUGCAUAUUAAACGACGUAAUCCUGGAUCACGCUCAAGAUAAUUGAUAUUAAAAUCAUGAUCAUCAUCGAUUCUUUGAGAUUCAACUCUUUCAACUGGAGGCUCAACAAUGGGAGACUCAUGAAGAUUUUGCUCGUCACAUAUUAGAGUAAAUAAAGAAGUGCUAGAAGAUAAUGUACUAGAUGAUGACCCAUCAUUCUUUUUCUUAAAAAAAAGACAACAAAUUUUUUGUUCUCUAGGGAUUCCGAUUGUGAUCCGACAUAAUAAAAGAUAGCCUAUGAAUUAGAAAAAAAUUUAAUCAAACAUACCAGCAAAAAAUCAAACAAAUUCUCAUAAUAGCAUCUCAACAAAACCAAACCAAAAAUUAUAAUUCAUCCAUAAUUAAACCCUAGAAUAUUCAAUUUUAACAAAAUCUCAAAUCAAAGCUUUAGAAUAAUUCAUCCCUAAUCAAAGCUCUAAUUAAUUUCAACAAAAUCUCAAAAUUAUAAUUCAUCCAUAAUUAAACCCUAGAAUACUCAAUUUUAAAUUAAAACUAUAAUUAAAGAUAUAUAGCAAAGGAGAGAAUGAGAAUAAUACCUUGUUGGUGACAAAAGGAGAAGAGAAGAUGUUGUUGCCAAGUUGCCCACCAAAGAUAAUAGAAGAUGUAGCCAAUAGAGGAAGAAUUUGACCCAAAAAAAGAAGAAGAGAGAAACUUGUUGCUCUGGUAGCAGAGAGAAAGAAGUAGUCUAAUGACCAAAGAGAAGGAUAGAAAAGAUGGAACCACAUGGAUGGGCAACAUAUAGGUAGGAUUUGUUUUUAAUUCUUUUUAUUUUUGGGUUGGACUUAUAACACAUAUAGGUCUUUUUUUUUUUUUUGAAAAAUUUUGGGCUGGGCUUUGCAUAGCCCCGCCACUGCAUGUGAGUUAGUCUCUUUUUUUUAUUUAUCUAAAGAAGAAUUUCAUUCAACUGAAGCAACAUACAGGACUUAAAAAGGUGGCAUUUAGUCACUUAUAAAGGUGGGGUGUAAGCACACAUUUAGGUUUGAAUUCCUUACCUCUAGUCACCAAAUAUCAACCCUUAAACCGAAAAAUCAAAAGAAAACUCUAAACCUUGACUUUAAGUACCAAACUAUAAAUCUUGGAUCUAUAACUAAGUUAGAGUUUUGAAGCUUGAAUGGGCAUAAAAAAAAAAAAAAAAAAAACUCUCAAACCCUAACCGUCUUGAAAGUCACAUCAUAAACUUAGAGCAAUAAGUAUCAAAUCUUAGACAAAAUCCUAAUUUCGUAUCCAACAUCGCUUACUCCAAACUCGAACUCUAAUCCUCACAUCUUAAAAGUCACAUCAUAAACUUAGAGCAACAAGUAUCAAAUCUUUGACAAAACCCUAAUUUUGUAUCCAACAUCGUUUACUCCGCACUCGAACCCUAACCACUAACCCUAAGAAAUAACCUCUUGAACGGCCUUUUAGAGACGCCUUUGAGUUUGUGAUUUUGUAUUGCUUGUUGAAUUAUUUGUUUGAUAAUCCUUCCAAUUUUUUUUAUAUGUUUUUGUUCAAGACUUUAUCCUAGUAGGUCAUAUUACUAGUUUUGUAUGGGGCGCUUAAAAUCUCAGAACGGUCACUAAUUUUGAACUCUUGAUCAUCAGGCUCAAAUCUAAUCUCAAAUUCUAAACAUUGGACCUUAAACUACAAUACUUAAUCUCAAGACUCGAACUUAUAACUUGGAGCCUUAGAUCUCAAGUUCAAAGCAUCGAUCAUCUUGUUUCGGGCCAGACAAACUUCAAACCUCGAGAGCUACCUUAGAUUGAGAUUCCCAGCCUAGAAUGUUCAACCAAACAAAUGAAAAUUGAGAGUACUUGCGCACCAAGACACAAGGAAGUUUCCAAAUACUUAACCCACGAUGUCUUGUCAUCUCAUGUACAGCCAUGAAGCAUUGUACGCAUAAGCGGGCCCAUUGACGCAGCAGAAAAUCUGGGAAAUAUCUAAGACUUUCGAUUCGAUGGCGUCGAGGCUAAAAAUAGAAAAACAAACAAUUAAUCACACUUACUUUCCCCUCUUAACCCCACCACCACCCCUCACUCACCUUAAUCUUAAUUUUCUAUUAACUUCGAUGUUGCCGUUAAAAUAAAAGGCUAAAUUCUUCUCAAGCCAAUGAGUCUCUGACACGUCAGAAACCCGAAUGGUUCGCUGACUUCCAUGUUCUACGUGUCGAGUGCGGAGCGCAAGUACUGGAGGGGAAGCGCGUAGAGUGAGCUGCGGGAAGAGUGUACAGAGAUACUGUAGUGCAGUAGGAAACUGCAAUUAAGAAGCGAAGGGAGGGAGGCUGUUUCCCGAUUUGCAGUUUCAGUGCCUUGCAUUGCCCACACCCGCAUUUAUUCAUUUCUACGCUUACUCUCUCUCUCUCUCUCUCUCUGUUUUGUCAAAGAAACGAAUUGAUUGAAGAAGGCAAACGCCAAAAGUCGAAGGGAAAAUAAAAUAACAACCUUCGCAACAAUGACCAGCUAGCUAACGCUUUCUCUCUCUCUCUCUCUCUCUCUCUCUCUCUCUCUCUCUCUCUCCCUUGUUACUUUGGUUUUCUCGCUUCAUUCAGAAGAAUCAGACAUUCAUUCAUUUGGUCACACUGGUCAGACAUGCUCUGUUUCUCUCUCUAGCUGGUAAUGUUGGUGGUUGUGAUGGAGAUGUGUUAUUAUGAGAAGUAAUUAUGGAGUAAGAGAACUUAAUUAACUAAUUAUCAGCAGCAGCAGCAGCAACAACAACAAUAAGAAGAAGAAGAAGAAGGAGAAGGAGAGAUUGAUUGAGAGAAAAAUGUUCAGGCUCCACAAGAACAGGCCAGCUAAAUCAGGGGAGAGGGUUGAUUUCAAGUUCUCUCACUUUAAGGCCCUCCAGGUAUAUUCAUUUCUUUAUGUUUUCAUUUGUGCUUAAUAUUGAGCAUUGCAUUGGAGGUAGACAAUUAUGGUGUAAUAUGCAUUUUUUUUUCGUAAAUACCUCGAGCUGUCCCACACCCAAAGGAUGGGAUUAAUCUAUGUCAAUUCUAGACCUUUAUCAAGAGUUUUUGGAAAAAUAAUGAAAAUUUAUGUCAAAAUGUAUAAUGGGGAAGUGCACAAUUGUUGAAUGCUGCAAACCAUAAUCAAAUUUUGUUUUUGAUUUCCAUAUAUGUACACAAACACCGUAUCUUUUGCUCCUGGAAUCAGGACCGAUGAUCAUGUGGAAUCAAGUGACUCUGAUUCACACUAUCAUUCUGUUCUGUUCUAUGGAUUUUUCCUUCAGCAGAUGGAGUUUUUGAUGUCUUUCUUGCUGAUGAUGAUAUUUGUGAUUGCAGGUUCCUAGAGGAUGGGACAAGCUGUUUGUAUCCAUUGUCUCUGUAGAAACUGGGAAGCCAAUUGCUAAAUCAAGCAAAGCAGUGGUGCGUAAUGGAAACUGUCAAUGGACUGAAACUCUUUCCGAAUCGAUAUGGAUUUCGCAGGAUGAUUCUUCAAAGGAGAUGGAAGAUUAUUUCUUCAAGCUUGUCCUUUCCAUGGUAUUUCUCAUUCUCACUGAUUUUGUUACAAACAUGCUAUUUUUGGCAAUUGACUUUCUUUAUCUUCUGUGAUUCAAUGUGGACUUUGGUUUAUCUACUUGCUGAUUCCCAAAUGACUUUUUGAUCCUAGGGAUCGGCAAGAUCCGGCAUCCUUGGCGAGACUACAGUCAAUAUGUCGGAUUAUAUAAGUUCAACCUCUUCUGUUCCAGUUUCUCUUCCAUUGAAGAAGUGCACUUAUGGGACAGUUUUGCAGGUGUGUUAUAAAAAUUUAUAUAUUCUCAUUAGAUGUUUGAUAUGUUGAACAAAAAUUGACCCCCUUGACCCCCUUGUUAUGUUGAAUUGAGUCAACGCACAUUUCUUAUGUUUUGGCGAAUGUGCAUAGUCUUUGCCAUCUCCUUAAAGAUAGAAAACAUCUGAAUAUAUCUCCUUGGAAAAUUGAUGCCUACCAUCUUUAAAACAUGGUUGUUCCAACUGUUUCCUGCAUUUCGAUACUUUCGUCAUUUGUUAUGAAAAAUUAUUUCAAAUCUAUACCAUUUUUGGAAGAUAUUAAAGUACUGGCCUAUGCAAAGUCAAUCUAGAAGGGUGCAUGUGAAUACUCAUUGAAGGUAUCUGUAAAAACUUGAAUAUAUCCAUUUGAGUAUUCAUUUUCUUUUCACCAUUCUCCCAUCUCAUUGCACUAGAAGUCAUCUCCGAAUUGUCUUUUCAGCAGAUUUUUGCUUAUCUUGCUGUUUUGCAGGUGAAAAUUAACUGCCUAACACCAAGAAAAAGGCUCAGGUUAGUAUCAAAUGAUUGCUUACAUUAGUCUGCAGAUAAUUACUUUUCUAUUUGAUAGUGAAGAUUUUCAGUUCAUGUUUUUAGUGAUGAAGAGUCAAAAGAGACAAGCUGUCAGUUUGAAGAACCAAAUGCAAAUGGUCUUGAUGUCGACAGCAAAUCAAAUGGAUCUAAUAGUACAUUUGGGAGGAGCGUCGGAUCUUCCUCCAUGAAAGAUUUUGGCUUGACCUCAAAUCCUGGAGAGCCUGGCAGUAGAGUAUGUUUAAACUUUCCCCUGCUAUUCUUUCCUCAUUUAUUGUAGCGCUUGUGUUUUCAGAAUACUGCUACAAUACAAACAUCGCGUGCUUCUUUUAGUAGCUUUUCUUGUGUUGCUUCAAUUGAACCUGGAGCGUGAUCCAGAAAUUAAAUGUUAUGUUUGUUGAUGUAUCAAUUUAUCUAAUGAAGAUUUUCUAGAGAAAAAAAAAAAUUCUAAUGAGUGUCUGAUAUCUAGACUAUAUUAUUUUUCUGAUUUGCGUAGACCCUGUUAAAGGAAUAAAAUGCUAAUGAACAAGCUGUCUACUGGUCUAUCGUUACCAUGAAACUAAUAUAUCUUCCCCACUUCUUGUAGGGAAGUAGUUUCUCAGCAUCAGGUUCACAUAACAGCUAUGACUCGGCAGAGGGUUCCAUAAGGAGGGAUAAUGCGUCCCCAGGAAGCAACCUUAGUGGUGAAGGGAACCACUUGAUUGGAAGACAAGAUUCAACCGACUCCCCCAUUAGUACAACUCAUGGAAAUUAUCCUGCUGAUGCCCCUUCUCCAUCAAAUCAUUCAUCAUUUAAUUCCAGGAUUAAUCAUUCUCGGAAAGAUUUUACAGAAUCACCUUUGACAACCACUGAUUCUUCUAAAAACCUUUUGGAAGCUGCAGAAUUUACAAUUGAAGAGCUACAUGCGGAAGCUAAGAUGUGGGAGAGGAACGCGCGGAAGGUAAUGCUUGAUUUGGAGAUACUGAGGACAGAAUUCUCUGAUCAGUCAAAAAAGCAGGCAAAUUUAAAUGUGGAGCUUUCGGCAGCAUAUGCAGAACGUGAUGGCUUGAAGAAAGAAGUUGAACACUUACAAUUGUUGUUUGAGAAUUCAGUGGUGAAACAAACAGGUACUGAGAAUGUAACUUCUCUGGAAGAAGGAACGUCCCAGAAUGAGAAGGCAUUGCAGGAUGAACUGAAGUUCCAAAAAGAAUCCGUAGCCAAUUUGGCCCUGCAGUUGGAGAGAAGUCAAGAAUCAAACAUUGAGCUGGUUUCGGUUCUCCAGGAGCUGGAAGAGACAAUUGAAAAACAAGAAAUGGAGUUGGAGAAUCUUUCAGAACUACAGGAAAAAUUUGGUGAUAUGGAGAAUUCUAUCAAAAAAACUACGGAGGAAAACAGAUAUUUAAAGCUUCAGCUGCAACAAUUGCAGGAAUCAGAGAAUAAGUUGCAAGUCAUGGUGCAACAGCUGGAGCAGGCCCUGGAAGAGAAAACCCAUGAGAUAGAGGAUGGAUCGAGUCUGAACAAACAAACUCUUUUGGAUAUCGAGACGGAAUACAAAAGUAAAUUAUUUUUCAAAGAACAAGAAAUUGUUAAAUUGAAAGCAAAGUUAUCUGAAUCUCUCCAAGAAAGGCAUUCUGCAGAAAUGGAUUCCAUCACCAUGAAUGGAGGUGAAGCUGAUCUUAUCAGAGAAAUUGAAGUCUUGAAAGAAAAGGUGGAGGAGCUAGAGAGAGAUUGCAAUGAGCUGACGGAUGAAAACUUGGAACUCUUAUUCAAGCUUAAGGUAGCAAAGAAAAAUUCCACUGGGGGACACGCACCUGUUGAUCUUCCAGCCAGUGAGGUUUCAGUGACUGAAAAUAAAUCACGAAUACAGAAUGCAGAGGAGAAGUUUAAUAAGAAAGUGCUUGGGGAGAUUACAAACAAUAAUGAUCUUUCAGUUCCAGUACUUGAGAGCUUGAAAAUGGAACUAGAAAUUAAAGUCACUGAACUGGGUAAAGAACUGACAGAGAACAGGUCUGAGAUAGCAAAACUUGAGGCUAACUUGCUAACCAAAGAAGAAGAAAUCGGGGUUCUAAGGCAGGUCCAGAAUGAAUUAGAAGCUAAGGUUUCCGAUCUUCAAACAGAAAAAAUAGAGCUAGAGGAACAAAUGGAAAUUGUGUUAAGAGAAAGUGAUAUAAGCUCUAAGUGUUUGAAUGAUUUGCGGAAUGAAUUAACGGUGAUUAGCAGCAGUGUGAAUUCCCAUGUUUCCUCCAACAAGGUGCUUGAAAGGAAAUCCUCAGAGCUGGAAGCUGAUAAAUGUGAACUGGAUCUUCAUGUGUCAGAGCUUGAACAAGAAAACGUACAAUUAUCUGCACAUAUUUCUGCUCUGGAAGCACAACAAAGAUACUUGACAGAUGAAAAGGAGGCCAAUCAAUUAGAAUUAGACAAGUCUAAAUCUUAUUGUCUGAGUCUCCAAGAUGAGAUCAGCAGAUUGAAAAUUGAGAUGGAAUCUGAUAAAGUAGAACUGAAGCAGAAACUAAAGCACUUGGAAAGUCAGUGGUCAGAAGCUCGAGAAGAAGGUGAAUAUCUGAAAAGGGCAAACCCAAAGCUACAAGCUACUGCUGAGAGCCUCAUUGAAGAGUGCAAUUCUCUUCAGAAAUCAAAUGAGGAGUUGAAGAAACAAAAGCUGGAGUUGCAAGAGCAGUGUUCCCUCUUGGAAGCAAAGUUGAAUCAAUCGCAUAAGAGCUUUACCGAUUGCUCCAAAAGAGUUGAAGUGUUGGAAAAAGAUCUUUCUUUAAUGCUGGAAAACAUUGCCUCAAAAGAGGAAAGCCUGAAUUCAGAAUUAGAUGCACUUCUUGAUGAAAACAUGACAUAUAGGGAGAAACUUACCUUGGAAGAAAGUUUGUUCAAUGAGAUGUAUUUGGAGAAGGCAACUGAAGUUGAGAGUCUUCAGCAAGAGGUAGAACAACUUACCAAGAAAAUUUCUGCAACUAAAAAAGAAAGAGAACAGCUAGCUUCAGAUGCCAUCCAUGAAGCAUCCAGAUUACGAGCUGAGAAGGCAAUGCUUGAAUCUGCUCUCCAAGAGGUUCAAUCAAAAGCAAUACAGACUGAGAAUGAAUUGAAUGUUAUGAGAACAGAAACUGAACCGAAGCUACAAGGCCUGUCCGCUGAGCUUGCUGCUUCUAAACAAAACCAGGAAUCAACAAUGGCUGACCAUGAAAGACUAUUGAAGUUGUUUGAGAGUUACAAAUCAAGUGAAGCAAAAUUGAAGACCACUGUGAAUGAUCUUGAACUAAAGCUUACAGUUUCUGAUUAUGAACGGCAACAGCUGGUGGAAGAAUCUACCAAUUUAAAGGUUCAACUGCAGAAAUUAACUGAUUGUCAGAAUGAAGUUUUGGCUUUUAAGAAUGAGCUUGAUGCAACCACAUUUGAGAAAGAAAAAUUGGAAGCAUUACUUCAUUCAAUAUCUGAGGAAUGUGAAGAUCUGAAGGCAGAGAAGAGUUCAUUCCAUGAGAAGAUCUCAACAUUGGAGAAGGCCUUAUUUGAAUUGGAGGAUUGCAAACGUAAUAAAGUUCUCUUGGAGGAAAAAAUUCUGCAGAUGGAAGGUAAUCUAAUUGCUAAAGAGGCUUUAUGUGCACAGGAUGCUGAGCUGAAAAAUGAACUCAACCAGAUCAAGAGAGCUAACGAGCAGUAUCAGCAGAGAAUAAAGCUACUUGAAGAGGAGAGAAGUGAGUACCUAAGAAGGUCUCAAGCCCUUGAACAAGAACUGAAAUUAACUAGGGAAGAAAGACAGAAACAGAGGGAUUCUAGCAGUCCAAAGAUUUCCAGCCCCGCAAAAAACAGUACUAAAGUAAUUCCUGUUGGUGAAGAUAUGAAGCUCCCAAAAGUAAGUGCCAUUGAUUCUUUAUUUUCUUGUUAACAGUUGACGUCAAGACUGUAAAGUUAUGGGUUUCUAACGUUCUUUGCUUAAAACAGAAUGAAAUGGCGAAGAACAGCAGUCAUCGACGUGAUAAUAGAAGGAAGCCAUUUUUGAAGACUGGUCAGGUACAAGGACUUGCAAAAGAUCAGAAUUAUCCUUAUAGAAACCAGUAUCAAAGAGAGGUUAGACAUCUGAAAUAUUCAUUAUUAAUCCUGCUUCUACAGCUAAUGACACAGUAUAUAGAAUUGAUUUCUGCAUAGUAAUAUAUGAUUGUGGACUCCUCUCAAUGUUGUGAUUUCAUGUAACUUUACAAAGCUUCUGUUUUGUUAUUUUCCUUUUAUUCUUCGCCAUUACAGGACGAUAAUGGAAAUGAAAUUCAUGAUGGAAGUCCUCGUGAUGCUGGAGUUGACUAUGGUUUAAAGAUUAAAUUUCUCGAGGAUGAACUUGUUAAGGCAUUGGAGGCAAAUAACACUUAUAAAGUUCAGCUUGACAGGUGAGUGAAAUAGGAUACAUAAUGCCUUAGAAACAAAUUAAUAAGUAGCAUUUGCCUUCUUUCUUUAAAUGUUUUAUGUAUGAUUCAGUCUUAACAUGCAUAUCUAUUAUCACCCCGCAGGAUGUUGUCUGAGGCUCGACACAACGAUUCAGAGACUCGUCGAAAUUCGAAAGCUGAAGCUGAAAAAGCUGCAAAAGAAAGAUAUGAACGCUCGAGAUCAUCUCUAGAGACAGAACUGAAAGACAUUCGCGAGCGCUACCUGCACAUGAGCCUCAGAUACGCCGAAGUAGAAGCUCAGCGUGAGGAACUUGUGAUGAAGCUCAAAGCAGCCAAGGGUGGCAAAAGGUGGUUCUCAUGAAUGAUGAUGGUUCCGUUGAUGUCAUGACCUGUUGAAAAUGACUGCACGUCAUAUUAUAUUCUUGAGGAUCUACCAAUCUCAGGUAGCUUUUUAACGCAUCUUUGUACAUCACAUUUUCCCACCUGAAUGAAUAUUCAAAUGAGUGAAUUAGUGUAGAGGAGAAUAUGCCACAGAUUGUUAAUUACAACUACAGAAUUCAAAUAAAAUGAUUAUACUUAAUUAACAUUAGUUUAGCAUCUCUUUAGCACUGUGUGCAAUUUUUUUUAAUUAUUCUUCUAUCGCCUGGGACUGCAAAUUAAGCACAUUAGUUAGCUCUUGUUUGAUUGGGAUCAGAUAAUAUUCUUCCAAAACUUUAUGGAUCCCCUAUAAAUACUAAAAUUUAUUGUGUGUGCGGUGCACUGUGCCUGCUCUCACGUAGGGGAAAAGACUAUGGAGCUUUCAACUGUUGUGAAUUGUUUAACCACCAAUUUCUUCACCAAGUGGAAAAUCACACACAUUUUUUCAUUUAACAAAAAAUUCAGGCUAGGAAUUGUUAUAAAAAAUAUAUUUUUCCUCUUUUCGUAAAGACAAAUACAAAAACCUUUAUAUUAUAAAUAACAUAUAAAUAAAGGUUAUUUGUAAUAUAAAGAUUUUUGUAUUUGACUUUACGAAAGAGGAAAACUAUAUAUUUUUUAUAACAGGAAUAGUGCAAGGACACAAUUUCUCCGUGGAUAUGACGGACAAAUGCCCUACUACUAAAGUUACAUAUUUCUUAAAGAAAAGUUGGACACUUUUUUUUUUUUUUUUGCUUUCUGCAAAUUAACAUACUAAAAUCUUUCUUCGACAUAUAAAUCACUUCAAUGAAACAGAAUGUACAAAUCACCAUAUAAAUAUGAACCACUUUUGACGAUGGGCAUCACAUCUUUAAGAGUGGAGGUAUGCAUCAAGUCCGAGUAAUAUCAAGGAGGGAUGGAAUUUGAUAAAAGUAAUAUUAUCGGUUUGUUUUCGGUUUGCUCAAAAUUUAGAACGACUGGAAAAGGAAAAAUGAAAGCACACCAUACUUAUAAUGGUGUCACUUGACUCAUCAAAGAGCAAUUCAACUCAAGAAAGUAGGUAGGAAAAGAAAGUAAAUAAUAUUUCAUAAUAAUUAUAUUUAAAAAAAAGCACAAAAAAGAACCAUCAAAGAGAGAACCUUCCUUCAAAGGCAUUACGCAAUCAAUUGAAAGAGUAUCAAACUUUCUGUGAUUGAUAAAAAUAAGGGAACGAAAUUGCUGGUGUCACUAUGAGAGCAUGAAAUCUCAACUCAGAAUAUAAAAGCAAAGAACACUCAAGAAAAAAGCCUACCUUGCAUCACAUACUUAAGGCUUUUACAUUUUCAGACUAAAGAGGGUGCAAUUCCAUGUUAACAAAGCCAAAGAUCUGUCCGUGUACAUCACUUGAUUUGGCGCCACGCAGCAAACCCGGUCUUACCAGGCCAAGUGAUUCAUCCCCUCAUAGAAUCCAAAACCCAAGUUAUUAAUCAAUGAAUAAUAUGUUUGCAUGUAUCACAUUGCUUCAUCAUAUUUAUUAAUCACAUUGUUAUAACAUAUACAUACCUAUUAAAUCUUUAUCCUGAAUAAUAUAUAAGUUCAAUACACGUAAAUUAGUAUCAAUAUGUGACGGAGUUGCGGUGACAUAAAAAUUUCCAUAAGGGAAUUUGAUGGCUGAGAUUCACUUGUUGUACUGGUUCUGUGAUUUGUGAUAAAGAUUAAAAAAAGGGUCAUCGUACUAUGCCCAGUGUCCAACCAUUUGCCACUUAGCAGGCCAUGAAAUCUUUUAGUAUAAUCCUAUUGCAUCACACACACUCCCAAAACCUCUGUGCGCAACAAAAGCAUAUAUUAGCAAUGCCAAAUUGACAUUAUAAAAAAAUAUGUGCAUAUGUCUUUGUAAAAAGAAAAAAUGAAAGCCAAAGUGAAAGAGGAAGAGGUGUCAUGUAUCAGAUUUGAAGCAAUGGCAUAUCCUUUGGAAGAUGCUGAAUUAGCAACCUCCAUUUCUAGCUUUUUCUACUUUCUUUUGGUUCCUUUAGCAAAAAGGUCCCCACACACUACCCAAGUCAUCACACCUUUUAUUACUCUCAUGACCAACCCAAAAUUUGCUAUAACAACCAAUCCAAACAUUUGUGAUCAAACCCUCUUAGUAAAACUGCUGCAGGGCCAAACCCAUCAUCUCCUUUUCAUGCUUGGCCACUCCUGCCAAUGGCUUGAACCAAACUGGUGGGGGUGGCCUAAUUAAGUUUCUUCGCUUGUCUGGAUGAUGAUGUUGGUGUUUUUAAUUUCUAUGAAUUAAGUAAGUGUGUUUCUACUUAACCCCAUUAUAAGUCUCGCUUUCAAGGCAGCCUGGGGAAGAAUAAAGAUUGUUGAAAGUAGCUGAAUCUCCUUCUUGAGGAGGUGGAUUUCUCUAAAAGGGCAACUUCAAUCCUUUGGCAUUUCGGCUUCUGCAGCGUCCCUCUUCGCCUUCUACGUGUGUUCGAGCUCCGGGAAGGUAUCGUGAGGGCCCGCGGUCAAAGUCAGACACUGUGUGUGCUUUUCCUGUUUUCUUGUUUUAGGUAUGAAGACUUCCUGUGUAUGUACUAUGUAGUUAUGUAUUAUUAUGCAGGCCUUUGGCCAAAGCUUAAGGUUUGGUAUAUGCAGCAGGCCUAUGGCUAAGAAUACUUUAUGAUUGCAGUAAUAAUCUAUUUGUUGUCUGUCUGUAAAUCUUUGAGUAUUUUGCUUCUCUGCUCCCAGAAUCUUGCACAUUAAUUAUUGCAAAUUGCAUUUAGCCUUAUUACUAUCAGAUUCCAUAGCAAUGUAGCUUAAUUAUUAAAACACCUUUUUCAUAUAUAUUGUUAUCUGCAGAACACUAGCUAAUAAGUUCAUCUCUGCAUUAUACUAUGAAUAAACCUAUACGGUAAUUGCUGCAGAAAGCAAGAAGUCAUAUAUAUUUUAUGUUUUUUUUUUUCAUGAACGGUUGAAUUUCACAUCUGAAUGAGACCACCCCUGAAAUUGUCCCUACCGACAGAUAAAAUUAGUCCCUUUUACCCCAUGUCUUCUAAAAAUUUCAGAGAUGAAUUCUGGAAAAGAUAUAUGGUAUCGGCCAUUUGGCCAGAAUUAGAUAGAUAUAAAUCUUUUUAUCAGGAUUCUUCUGCUUGCUUAUAUUUAGGCGUAUCCAGUACUCAUAGACUAUGAUUUGAUCAUGGCCAACUAAAAUUAGAGGUGAG
rnacentral:lncRNA from 1 species